rnacentral:lncRNA from 1 species
UUUCUCUUUCUAGAGCUGGUGAGAGAGUGGUCGUUCAAAUCCUGACAAACUAUCGCAAUGUUCCCUUUUAAAGCACCUGAAUCCUGAAAACUCUUUUCUUAAUAUCUUUUGCAAAGACUGACUCACCACAUCAUUUUUUUCUAGACACUCACCUACUGCCCCAUGAAAGACUAGUACCGUUACAUGUGUCGACUCACCUUCUCCCCUCUGAGGUUCGUGACGCCUCUGAGGAGUAGGUAGCAUACCGUUAGGGUUACAAGAAAACCGGGCUCUAAUACUAGUUGUCAAACCCCACCCUAGGAGUCCCAGUCAAACCACUAGUUCAACCGAUGAGUCUUACUCAGUUUUUAACUUGAACCACACUCAACUCUAGGCUACUAAUAAAAACAUUAAGACAAGCAUUAACAGCUUAAACUGAACACUUCAAUAAAAUUGACAAACUAGGAUCCGAAAUCCCAAAACACAACAAAUCAAAAAGAGAUGCAACUCCAGUUUAAAAAUACAUAAAAAUUAUAUCCUCUAAUAUAUAAAAACCAACCAGCUUUCUCCCCUCCAUCAGCUCCAAUACCUGUGACUGAACACAUAGAUAUGCCAAGAAAAACAAGUCUAAUGGGGUUAGUGAUAACCAUUGAGUGGCUAAACUAGGCUCGCAUAAAACUGCAACUAUACUAAGAAAAUAGGGCAAGAAUCAAGUAAUGUGACUCUGCGGUCCUGUAGGGAUCAUCCUAUCAAUAGUCACCCCUAACUAGUAGCUGAUAGCCUCAUGAAGGAUCAUACCAUGAAACCACCCGUUGAUACCGUGUGAGCAGCAUCUGUACGCAUACUCCACACAUCUUGCAUGACCGUAGAAACAUCCUGGGGGAUUUUGCAAUCCAUGGGUGGGUGACCAACACACAUAAGGAGCUAAUCUAGCUAAAUCUGAAUUUUGUCCUAAGCAUGAACUGUGAACCACAGUUCAAAUGUCAUGAGCUUAUGCUCGAACUUAAACAACUACCUGUUCAGUAGAUCACACGCUACUGCACAGUGUAUGAGCCCGACUCUGUUUCAUAACCCAUGUAUAGUAGAUGACACGCUAUUGCACAGUCUUGAGAGCCCGGCUCCGAAACACAACACAUGUACCGUAGAUCACACGCUACUGUACAGUCCUGAGAAUCCGAUCAUCGCAUUCCUGACAAUCCUAAUUACAGUUAUAUGCUUAAGUCAAAAAGUAAUCCUAACCCUCACCUAUUAAGAAGGGAUGGCAUUUCUGAUUCUCACUUGACAUGAUUCCUCUCACUGCCACUAAUCUAUAGCUUCUGACCGUGCAUCAUUUGGAGUUUAACCAAUUGAGUUAUACUCCAUUUACUUGUAGCAAUCUGAAACUUGCUAGGACAGAAACGUGGCGCUAAUCCUCCAACUGCCUCCAUUACACUAACUGAUCCAAAACUUCUACUCAUUGACAAAACUAACCCAAGUCCUUAACUAUAAAACAUCCAAAAGUUCAAAGUUGCUAAAGGUCCUCAACGCGUCCUACACACCACCAAAGCCGUUGCACCCUUGCCGAACGCGGAUGGCGCCACCGCUACUGCUAUUCCUAAAGCUCCGCCUUGAAUCUCCUCAAUCUCCUCCGAAAUAGUGAUCGGCACCGCCACAACUCCAUCCUCGUUUGCCCUCGAUCGAUGGAAUUCAAAAUCCUCACCUCUUGGCGUCAAAACUAAUGGCAACAAGUAACUUACCCUGCUCAUCGUCUCAGUGCAUCACCAGUUAGAUCAUGGAAGGGAAGUUAAACCAUUCUCCCACUUGAUGGUAAUGGGGCCCAACUCCACAAUCUGAUCCAUCAUACGGCCCAAGGCCCACCUCAACUUUAAUUGGACUCAAGGCCAUAAUUUAAGCCUAGGGUGGCAGUCCUCACCCUUCACUUGAAUGGUUCAAGUCCUAUCCAGAGCUAUAAAAUCAAUCUAACGGUCUAGAAAUCUUCGAGUUCAUAACUAACAAUUCACAGGCUUAACCCCUCUUCUGAUGGACUUAGUCAACCCAAUAACUAUCUCGAGCCUUACAAAUCUUUAAUACUUGGUCAAUUGCUGAGUCAACUCAUCAAAUUAAUUAAAUUAAUUCAUUUUUCAACUUCCGACUUCUACUCAACGAGUAAGUUUUGAAUCAAAAAAAAUUUUAACCGAACCAAAAAUUGAGGUGUCACAAUUGUCUACAGUAUGCUUAGCUUAUACAUGUGAUGGUUAGACAGUUAUGUUCAUGUUUCUACUUGAUGAUGUGAAAUUCAUUAAACUAAGAUAAGUUGUUAAACUAUAAUAAGUCCUUAAAUUAUGAUAAGUCAUGUUCAUGAGAUCCAUGUUAUGGCAUGUCUUUUUUCCAGGAUUAAUGCUCCCAUUAUGUCCAUCAUAUUCAUGUUACGGUUAGGUAGUUAUGUCAUGUUAUGUAUUAUUUAAUGAUGUGCAAGUUGUACCCUCGAAUUAUGAUAAGUCAUGUCAUGUCUCCCUGAUAAGGGUUUAUCUCAUUUUCAUGUGAUCCAUGUUAUGGUUAAGUGGUUAUGUCAUGAUAUGUUGGGUUAUUACAUGAUGAUGUGCAAGAUGUGCCUUGAAUUAUGAUAAGGCUAGACUACUUCAAGGUUAGGGUGUGAUAUGUCUACAUGACUAGUGAGUAGUGAAUAAGUACACGUUACUUAGACAAGUAAUGUGUAUUAGAAACAUGUAACUUUCUGGCUAGACCACCACCCCCUAUGUUGUGAUCUCAUGGUACCGUCUGAUGGAUACAUACUCACGGACUCUCACGUUCACGUUUGGGCCGGUAUUGCCCCUCAUGUUACCGUCUGACUGAUACGUACUCGCAGACUCUCACGUUCAUAUUUGGGCUGAUAUUGCCCCAUGUUUCUCACGUUUGGGCCACAUUUUUCCCCUUAUGUUACCGUCUGAUGGAUACAUAGUCCCAAACUCUCACGUUCACAUUUGGGUGUUGGACUAGUUAGUUGAGUUGGGGGGGGACGUCCCGCUAUUGAAAGUUCAAGUGAUAAGAUACCUCAGAUAAGUUCAUGUACAAGUAUGUCAAGUUCAAGGGAUAAGAUAACUUAGAUAAGAUCAAGUAUAAGAUUCAAUGUUAUGUGUUUUCAUGUUCGCUAAGUGAUGUUGGUGAUAAUGACCACCUGAUAUGAUAUGUUCAGUGAUUGUCAUGUGCUGAUGUGUUGUGAUAUGUUCAAAUGUUUCUUAGAUGUGAUAACUAUGUGUUGGGAUAAAUAUUCAUGUAAUGAUGUGUUCCUUAUGUUCCAAUGUGCCAUGGAUUUGAUGACUAGUUGUGAUCAAUAUUCAUGCAGUGAUGUGUUCCUUAUGUUCCAAUGUUCCUUUAGAAUGGAUUAGAGGUUCAACCUUUGAUGAUGACUAUGUUACUUGCCAUGUUGAGUUCUCAUGUGUUAGGAUUACACAAAGAUGGAUACUAUAUCUUAUAUGCCUACUUAGCUAGUAUCAAUGAUGCCUUAUACAAUGAUAUGUUUUUGUCUUCCCUAUGUUCUAGCAUGAUACUCAUGUUAUGUGUCUACAUAACUAAGUCAGAAUAUGUUGUGGUUAGAUAACUAGAAAGCAUGUCCCUAAGUAAAGGCAAUGUUUGAAUAUAGCAAUGUCUGAUUAAGGUGAUGUCUGAAUAAGGUAAUGUCUGAUUAAGAUGAUGUCUGAAUAGUUUGAUGUCUGGAUGAGUUGAUGUUUGAAUAAUUUUGAUAUUGUUAAACUUAAGUUGGAAAUCAUAUGUGUUAUAUUAGAGCAUAAUAGACUAACCCCAGAACCACCCACUAGGGUGUUUCUAAGUUGAUGCAGUAGUAGAGUUGAGCUGAUUCGGAUGUGCAGCGAUGGACUUGGUAUUCAAUGUCGGGUUUGAGUUUCAAGUGUUUAUUCUGAGACUUGAUUCUUUUCAUGUUGUCUUAUGUUGGAGCACUCUCCGCUUUUGUUAAAGCAGAUGAUCAUUUUCUAUCUUUUUGGUUGUUCUAUUUAAAUAAAGUUUUUGAAAUUCCUUUGAGUUGAGUCCCUAUAGGGCAAUUUGGUUAUUAAAUAAAUAGAAAGUUUUUGGGGUGUGUCACAAGCGCCCGCGACAAAGAGUAAAACCUGCGACCAUUGUAUGAGCGCUAAUGGAUUUAUUCAAACGUUGUCGCAGUCCGCCUAAAACAAGAGCUCGACUGCGAUAAACAUAGUGAAUGACUACCCUUCAGCAGCCGAUCUCCACUCAUUCCACACAGCUUCAACUCUCCUCCCAUCUGAAAUCCUCCUAUUCCUCUCAAUUUCCUCCAUCGAUUUUCUCCUCUUCUCUUCUCCAAUUUUGUCACCCCGACUUCCACCCUUUUCUCGAAAUCGCCAAUAUCAGCUUACUGUUACUAACAAGAAGCAUAAGAGUUCGAUUUUGAUAUAGUUGUGUCGGGCAAUCGCAUUGUGUUUGAGUUGAAGAAUCAGGGGGUUAAACCUGUAGGUCCACUUCAUUCCUUCAUGGGAUACUACAUAAGUGAGUGUACAAGAAAUUAUGCUUACUACCCGGUCUCUCCAAUCGAAUGGAAGAAGUUGUCGCCCCAAUUGAAGACACGGGCUUGGGAGCAGUUUGUGCUAGUAAGUAUUAUUUUAGUUUUUUUAAUUAGAUAUAUUUUUGUAGUUAAAAUUGUAACUAGUUAGUGCUUAAUUGAUUUAUAUUAUAAACCUCUUUUCACAUUGAGGCGAAUGAGAUGGUUGAAGCUCGCAAAUAUUGGGAUCGCAAUGUUGGAAGACUGUUGGGGGAAGUCAAGGAUCACAAUUUGGCAAGCUUAGUUGAAGCAUGCACAAAUAAACCAACUCCCUCCAUAGUGGAUUAUGAAUAAUUCCUUGACAGGUUGUCCAAUGGCUGAUUGGAUAACGUACUUGUUGCGAGUUAACGACAAGUAGUUCGAGAUAGUACAUAUAUUUACAGAUUUCUAAUUGUAUUUGAUUGUAGUUUUUAAUACCGACUCAAGAACUUUUAUGUGCUUGAGUCAUAUCAAAUCAAGCCGCUCAAAUGGAAAACCAUAAAGGAGGGAGAAGGCCAUGUGAUACAUAUGUCAAGGAAACCAUUGAGAAGAUGGGUAAGCCACCUUCUCUACGCCAGAAGUUCAUAAAGUUCUUCCACUAACUAGAUGGAAGUUACAAAUCAGAACAUGGAAUACUUGUGGUGGUAAUGACUAGUUUCCAUAUAUAUAAUAGAUAUAGCUUUAAACUAGAAGACAAUAGAAUUAAUUGAACAUCUGUUAUGUAGGAGACUAUCAGCAACUAGAGCGGGAAGGAGCACCGACUGAGGUUGGGCCUAAUGACUCAUUGGCUCAAACACUAAACAAGCCAAAGCAUCGAGGCCACGUUCGGAUGAUGAGUUUGGGGUUUACCCCACAAUGGUAAUAAUGUUCAAUUUCAAAUUUGUUCUUUCUUGGGUCGUUAGUGUUUGUACCUUGUUUGGUGAUAUUUGUACUGUUUUUUCUUUAAGGUAUUUGGUGGUGCUAGCACUUGUUCAUCAUCAUCAUCAGCUCCUUCUGCCUCUGGGAAUGCAAGUGUGUCCUCAAAUGCUGCUCCUAGUGCUCCCCCUCCCUUACGAGAAGAGUUUGAUUGGAUGUCGUAGCAGAUGGCAUUGAUGUUGCAACAGUUGGCUACAAUGUAUUACAUGAUGUCGUCGGAGCUCGCCGGUGCUUUUACCUAAGUUUUGACUCCUGGGAUAGUUCCUGGUACUCCAUUCAAUCCAAGUCCUCUAUAUCUGUAUUAGGAGCCUAUGCAGCAGCAACAACCAUCUCAACAAUAGCAACAAGCUCAUGAGACCAAUCUUAUGGGUUACUUCCCAUUCUCUCAAGAAGCCAAAAAUCAGUUUCGCCUUCAUGGGAUGAUGGCGAAGCCUUUUCUUCCCUUCUUCAUACAUUAGAAAGAGUGAGUUUUAUAAUUAGUUUCUUGAAAUUUCAAUUAGAAUUCAUGUUUGUACUUACUUGUGUUUUUUAUGUUUAUAUAUAGGUCCCCAUUCCAGACACGAGGGAGCAACGAGAUGAUGAUGAUUGUUCGUAGUUGUAUUUCUAGUUAGUUCUAGCUCUCUCCCCAUCCCUAUUCCCAUAUAUUAUGUAGUAUUUGAAACUUCUAAGAUAGUUUCUUAAGAUAAUUUCUUAACGUUUGCAUAUUAAUGUUUGUUAUUGUAGUUUGGAAUUAUUACAUGAGAUGGUAAUUAUGGAAUUAUUAUGUGUUAUUAUGGAAACCUAAAAACUGCUCUAAAUUCUAAAAUUCUGCUCUAAAUUCUAGAACAUUGAAAAAGCUCUAUAACUGCAAAGGUAGAUCAAUUUGAAAGUGAUAGGUGGCACCAUACCAGAAUAGACACAUCUCCAGCAUUAUUGUAAUAGGCUAGUCGCAGGCCCUUUCUCGCAAGUGUUGACUACGAUUGGCCGGUCACUGGUAGCGCCUGUGAUAAAGCGCCUACAACCAGCCAAUCGCAGCCAACGGCUACGACAAGGCGAGCUUUGUCACAUCAAUAAUUGUCGCAUGCCUAUUUCUAUUUGUCGCAUGCACUGUAUGUAACCAUCCUUCUAUUUUAUGGCAGGCUGGCCUGCGACAUUGUUUUGUUUUUGCUUGUGACUGUUUUCCCUUUUUAUUGCAGUGUAAGUUAUACACUUUCAUGCAUUAUUACGUGUUGAAGAUGGAUUCUAACGUGAUUUUGAAAGCUCCUAGACCGAAACGAGUGACCAUUUAGUUUGAUUCUUUUAGUAAUGUGUAAAUGAAAAGUCUACAUGCUAAAUAUAAAUUCAUAAAUUUGUUCUCAAUAAUAAAAAGUUUACUAGUUAAGAAUAGUUGAAAUAUUGAUGGACGAUGUUAAGUUCAUCCUUCCAUAAAUUUAAUUCACAAACUUAAAAUGAUUCGUAAGUGAAAUGUUAGUAUUAAGACGUUCACAGAUGAAAACAACAAAGAUUGAACAUCAAACUGUAAAGAUAAAAAUAAACUGUAUCUCAUAUUAUUUGGAAUUAAGNNNNNNNNNNNNNNNNNNNNNNNNNNNNNNNNNNNNNNNNNNNNNNNNNNNNNNNNNNNNNNNNNNNNNNNNNNNNNNNNNNNNNNNNNNNNNNNNNNNNNNNNNNNNNNNNNNNNNNNNNNNNNNNNNNNNNNNNNNNNNNNNNNNNNNNNNNNNNNNNNNNNNNUAAUAUAAUACUCAUAAGUGGACAUAACAUAGACAUAAUCCACCUAUAAAGUGGACACAAUGAUUAUAUAUAUAAUUUUAUCAUAAUAUGAACAUAACAGUGACAUAAUUUACUUAUAAAUGUAACAUAAUAGUGAAUUAACAUACUCAUAAGGUGAAUAUAAUAGGGACAUAAAAUGUUCGUAAACCAAGCCUAAAAGAUGCCUAAUAAACUUAUAACUUAGACAUAACAUAGGCAUAAAAGAAUUGCAGUAGUACUGAUAUUUAGGUUAUGUAGCAUAAUAGCCUAAAACAAGUGGUCUACUCAAAACACUAAAAAUUGAUAUAUAAUCGUAAUAUAAUUGUUCUAUGACAGUUAUCCGUUAUUAACAUAGAAGUUGUACAAACAUAUUGUGACACCUUGAUUUUGGGUUGAGUAUGAUUCUAGGAUAGUAUUGGUUUUUGUGAGUCGGUGAGAAUCACUGUCAGACGGUCCGUCACGGGCGUAUCGGACAGUCUCUCAUAGGCGUGAUCAUCAGGUAGAUCAUGAUCGUGGUCAAUGAUAGUCACGAACGUGGCAGCCGGAGGAUGACGGCCGUGACCAUCAGUAGGUCAUGGACGUGGUUUCCAUGUCACAACGGGUGAGGUAAGCAGUACGCCAUGGGUGUGGUGGACAACUUAUGAAACCUAAUUUUCUUCUUCCUUGCAAACUUCUGACGAGCGACGAUUGUUCCAGGCACAGGGGAAAGUCUUGUUGAUCGAUCCAGACCAGUAGGAGAGGCCUAGAGAUCAUCGAGGAAGCUUUAGGAGGUAAUCUACCUUCUUCCUCGUUCGUCAAUCCUUUUCUUUGAAUCCCAUGUAGGAAAAUCCUGACAGGUUUGGAUUUGGAGUUUUGGGAUUUCAAUUUUAUGAUUGUUCCCUUCAGGUUAUAUGGAUUAGGCAAGCAAACUCUAGGUUUCAGAUCAUACUCUUCAGAGGAAAGCUUUCAGAGGUAGGGGUUAGGAUUACUUUUCUGCUUUAUGCGAAGAAUUGUAAUUAGUUGUCAGGAAUCCUUGUUUGGAUUUUCAGAAUUGUACAAUAGUGUGCGAUCUACUGUAUAGAAAGAUUUGUUAUGCAGUUUAGAGUUUCGGGUUGUACAAUAGCGUGUGAUCUACUGCAUAGGCAGAUGGUUAUGAUUCGAGCAUAAGCUCACAACGAGAAACUAUGCAUUUAUACAGUUCAUGUUAGGAUUAAGAAUCAGAACUAGAAUAUACUAGCUCACGAUAUACGUUGGUCACCCACCCUAUAGAUUGUGCGAUCCCCGAGGCUACAUUUACUUUCAGGUAGGACUUGACGAUAAUGCCUUCAGUUGCUGCUCUCACGGUCUGAUCCACCAUGAGGUCAUCCGCUCAUAGCUAGGGGUGGCUAAUGUUAGGAUAAUACCUAGAGGACCACAUGGUCACAUUACUAGAUACUAGUUCAGUUUUUCAUGUUCAGGGUCAGCUGCUCAGUGCUUAUCACUGACCUUGUUACAUUUCAUUAUACAUGAUCAACCUUGGGACUUCAGGAGCCAAUGCCGCUUAAGAAAGGAGCAUGAGUAGUGACACCACCUCGCAGUGAGUCUGGGAGUCACACAGAGAGGUACCAUCGAGUACCUCAGCUGUCUCUUUCAGUGUUUUCAUAGUUUUAAGACAGUCUUUCAUGUUUUUUCAGUUGUUUGUGAGACUUAUUUUACAGUGGUUGUUUUCCCAGGUUUGGGAUGUCUUUUAGUGAUGUUCAUUUUUGAAUUCGAGCCAUGAUGCUCUGUUUAUUUUUUGCUGUCGUUUUACUUAAGUAUUGAGGAUUUUCAGUUCAGUUAAUGUAUGUCAGUUGUUAUGAUAUAAGUUUGAGUGAACCCAUGAGCAAUGCAUGGAUAGAACCGUGUGGUUUGAUCGAGUCAUCUAGGGGUGGGUUUCACACAUAUUAGUUAUAUUAUGUGACAUUAUAAUAAAUAAUAAAGGGAAUAUUGUCAUUUACCCUCUUUUACUUCACCCAACUCGCAUUAAGCCCUCUAUACAAUUCAAUGUUCCAUUAACCCCUACACAUUGCCCACUUUACCAUUCGUCUCCUUCCGUUACGCUUUCCAUAUGUACACCGUUAAAACCAUACAACUCAACAUGCCAUGUAAGUUUUUCGGCACCACAUCAGCGUUUAAUUCCUUUAACAAUUCAUGAAAUAUAAAAAAUUCCAGACACCCUUCUUUCUUCACUCUUCUCCACUCGACCCCCAACCUUUCUCACAUCCGAUGCAGCCGAACUUCGCCCCGAGGGUGAACACAAGGAGAGGAGGGUUGCUAGAUUUUGGGUGUUGUUUUUGCACUCAAAUCCGAUUCAAAAGAAAUAUUGGCCACACUGGAAAAAAGUUAUGGUUUGAUCAUCCUCUAAACAUUCGUAGCAGUGUAAUUCAAGGUCUUAAAUUGGCUACCACUACCAAUUGGAAAGUGAGCAAGCCAAUUUGUAGCGAACACCAAGUGUUCAACAAAAUUCUUAGAUGCUAAAAGACUCUUACUGGCAUCACAAACACUUGACAAGGGUGCUAAGUCACUAUUUGACACCCCCUAACAUUCCAAUCACCUAAAUUGUCACUACCUAAGUGAUUACCAAAAUGCACUCAAGGUGUUAGAUAAAAUGCCACUAAGAGAAUCCUCACACUAAUGGUUGAAUUGGGGUGUGUGCUUGGUCCACACACCCUUACCCCAAUCUUGGACUACACACUUACUCAAGUCAAGCACAAUUAAGUAAUUGAAAGAGUACAUUUGACCUAGAACAAGCCAUAGCACAUUCUAAGUUGCAAUAACCAUAGUCCAACCAUUCUCAAAUACCAUAAUCCAUAUCUAACAUGUAUCCAAAUCCUCGUCAUGAGGGGAUCAUCCUAGUACAUAGCAAUACCCUAAUCUAACAACUAAAGAGUCUAGCCACUCAUCAUGACACUAAAACUAAAGAAAAGGGAUACAAUCACCAUCAAUCAACUAGUAUGAAGAAGAUGAUGAGGGUAGGAUCCUUCCUCAAAGCUCUACUAUUCCAAUUCCUUCAAUCCUUGGUCUUCUCUAGCUCCGAAGCUUCUUCAAGGUCUUCAAUUGAUCUUCUAAGGCUUCAAAUUGGGUGAAAAUCGAGAGAGGAGUCGGGUCUCAACAAUUGUUAUGACUGUAGUGUGAAUUGUUCGUCCAAUCUCCAUGGACCAUAUGCCAUGUGGACCAACACGGGCUCCAGAUGCCAUGUGGCCUAAUUUCCAGCUUAGGACUUUGUUCUUUGAUCGCACAUAUCUCCCUCGUCCGACCUCCGUUUGAGCUCUGGUUGGUCUCAUUGGAAUUUUCUCGUUGUUCUUUAUGCAUCGGAUACCUACAGCCUCAUAUAUACAAUGAGAAACGAGGUCGAACGGACCAAAAUGAUCCAUUUGACAAAAUGAAACAAGAACCCCUUUUUUUCUUCCAACCAAUCACAAAGGAGGGUCAAAACUAGGUCAAACAAGGUAAAAAACAGUCAAGAUGUGGUCAAAUUGGCAACAAAUAAUCGUGCUAUCACAUCCCCCCACACUUGAACGUUGCUUUUCCUCAAGCAAAUCUACUAAUCACACUCAAAGAGAACUCGAAACAGGGUGAAAAGAAAAUAUUUCCUAGCAUUUCAAGCCUAUUUCACGAUGCCAAGAUUGCAAGUCAAUCACCAAACCACUCAAUUAUGUAUAAGACAUUGAAUCCCUUAAAAAAUUUCACACCAAACUCUAAUAUAUAGAUAUUAUGAUUAGAUACCUAAACAAGCGAAUGUACUAAAGUUUCUCCAAUGCACUUAUGUCAUAUGGUACUAGCGGAAGAAAUGGACAGACAGACGGUCCUGGCUGGGUAUUUUUCCCGUCUUGAGGGAGGGGAUGCCUGAUCUAACAUAAACAUAACUAUCACCAAGUAUACUAGCAUCUCCCUCUUCUUUUACUCUACUUUGCUUUCUUUUGUAUUUAGUUUUCAACUAUCUUUUCUCCCUCUUUUUUUUCACAUGGAUGCUUUUUCCAAAUGAGGUGGUUGUGAUUCCAAUUAGGCUCAGAUCCGGUGAAUACCGGGCACCAGUACCGCAAUCCACACAUCGAAGGGUUGAGAAGAGGAGCCCGAGGUGUUGAGCAUACGAGUGGCAGAUCGAAAUCUACCUUGCGUGUUUGAAUCACAACCUUCCUCCAUAUCAUUCUUAAGCACAUUGGCCUCCUGUCCAUUUUGACUUCAUAAUACCAUAGACAAGUUCAAAAAGGAGAAUCAAUCAUACAUAUCGAGCAAGUAAAGGUGAAAACUCAAAACAUCCAUAUGUGCGAGUUUGAAGCAAACUAAUUUCAGGAAAAUGGGAGGUAGUCCACAAAUGAUUACUCAACAACCUAUUCGUCCUCAAGUAGUAUGAAUAAACUAGGUAUGCAUCCAAAGAGAUUCACAUAUUCAAAUUUGAGAGGGAGUAUCAAAAUUCAAGAGCAAGUCAGAAAAAAUGCUACCAAGAUAUGCACAAAAAUUCUCAAACCCGAAUAGUAUAAAAAAAUCCUCCCCCCCCCCACACUUGUACAACACAUUGUCCUCAAUGUGAAAAGAUAUAAGGGGAAGAGGGGUACCAAACGGGGGUGAGGAGUGAAGCCGGAUGAGAAGAUGAAGGAUCAAGAUCGAGUACCUAGAGUUUCACAAAAGGCAAGAACAAAAAAAAAACAAAAAAAAAACGCAGAAACAAACACGAAUAAUGGUCGAGUCAAGAGAAAAGAAGAUAUCUCAAGGCCGUCGAGGAGCUGUCUCAACAAGAAUCCAAUCCACUUAGGCAAGAGUAUACAAGAAUGUGCACAAGUAGAUAUGGAAGAGGCAAGAUGCAUAAGAUAUGCAUAACCAAUAAAGAAGAUAACUAGUUAUUCUCAACCAAGACUAACUAGCAAUCCUAAACAAGAGCAUCCUAUAAUCCAUAAAUGAGUAAGACAAGGGUGAGAAAAAGCUAUGGAACCAUCUCAACUCAUUUAGAAUCAAUUCCAGAAAGUUAUCAUCACAAACGUGUACCAAGUCCAAUCAACAAGAAUGAGCAUAAAGAGUGUAUGCAAAGCAUCAAGUGAACAAAGUAUGCAUCAUUCAACUAUAAUCAAUUUGAGAGCUCAAUGGACUACUAGUAUGCAUCAUUCUUCUUUGACUCAUUAACCAAAACAAUGAGCACAUAUGGAUAAUCAAAAGUAGUGGCAUGAUCAAAAUUCAAGCAUUAGAAGCAAUGAGCAAAGUCACAAUCAUCAAUUCAAUAAUUGGACGCAUCAAAUUCACCUAGCAACAACCUAGGUUCAACCAUACAAGGGAGCACAAAGAUGCAAUUCCAAAUUCUCAUCGCAAGAAUUCAACAACCCACAUAAUUCUUGUUCAAAAAUAUCAUAUUGGCAAAGCUAGACAUUCAAGUAGGCACAACCAUCUGAAACUGGCAAUUGCAAUGUUCAAAUUAGCACAAAAGCAUCAUUUGACCAAAUUUGACCACAAUUCAAACUUUCCACACACUCCAUCAAUCAAACCAGAGCAAACAGAACACAGACGACACAGAUUCAGGCCACAUCAUCAACCAAAAAGUCGUAGGCAGUCAAACGAGCUUUCCAACGCCGCUGGUCUUGCGAAAAACAAACGCUCGAGCAAGAAGUUAUGCUCAAAAUACCGAACCACAGCAUUUUUUCGCACAAGGCGACCAAUCAACGGAGGGUCAACGUCCGGUGAACCGGUCUGGUCAAACUCAGGUUGGUUCGGUUUGAAAAUCGGUUAAACAAUGCACCCCCUUCUUUGAAUAGUGCAUCUUGGCACAUUUUUAACACAAUCGAGCACGUUUCGGAGCUGGAAAUUCAAGUUUUUUUUUAGAAAACCCAUUGGAACUGUAGAUUUUGCAUAAAAAGUACGCUUUAGCCUUUUGUUUCCAAAAUCAAGCAAAUUUUAGGAUCUGAAAGUUCAAUUUUUUCAGAAAACCCGUAGGAAGUGUAGAUUUUUCAUAAAAGUAAGUCUGAGCAUAUUUUUUAGUAAAACAACCAUUUUUUAGCUCUCGAAAAUAUAAAAAUUUCAAGACUGCUUUUUUUCUUUUUCCUAAUGCAACGAAACUUCCUGCUAGCCUUAGGCACACUAAGAUAAGAUCAAGCAAAUCUCCAAACACUCGUUCUCUCGUCCCGGUCAUCACAAGAACACAAGAAACAAAAACACAAACAAAACACGACAAACACACAAUCAUGCAAGUUUUAUUCAAUUUUCCUACUCCUAAGCUACACUAUUCAUGACGAGACACCUAUGGUAUCACCAACUUGGUAAUGUUCAAGAUGCAUCCCACAAAGUAGAAGAGGGUCAAGAUGAGUAGAGGAGGUUACCUCGAUCUUGGAAGGAACGAACUUUUGUUACCAUAAAGGGGCCGGAGAUGAGGACUCUAUCGCCCUCUUUGAGUGCUUGUUUGGUGGGGAGGUGCAAAUCAUGGAGUUGCUUGAUCGCUUUCUUGCAACUCCCAUCCUUGACCUUGUGGACACUUUUUUGGUGAGAAGAAGGAUUCUUGGGCUCAAGGUCUGGUGGUUCUUCAUGCAUGUUCCUCGCCUUAGCAUGCACUCCCUUGAUCGAGAUAGCUUCGGUUUCCUUAUUAUACUAUUUCACACACUCGCUCAAGGAUGGAUCCAAGGCUUCAUGAUGAAGAGAUACAUUAAUAGCAUAAACUAAAGCCAUUUCAACGGGCUCGCCAAUAUCAUUAUCAUCUUGAGGAUCCGGGUGCUCCAUACCCCCGAUCAAUUGAAAUGUGGCUUCCUUUUGACCCACUCUCAAGGUAAGCUUACCCUCAAACACAUCUAUGAUUUCCUUCGACGUGUUGAGAAAUGGACGACCCAAAAUCAAUGAAACGUCGGUGUCUCCGGUGUCAAUCACAACAAAAUCCACCGGAAACAUGAACCUUCCAACAUGCAUAAUAACAUCUUCAACUACACCACUAAGCAAUUUUGUAGUUUUUUCCGCUAGUUGGAUGCACAUCUUAGUUGUUGUAAGUUGACCUAGGCCUAGUUUCUUGUACAAUGAAUAUGUCAUGACAUAUAUACUAGCACCUAGAUCUGCUAAACCUCUUUCAAUCACAACUUGACUAAUCAUGGAAGGGAGAAAGAAACUACCCAGAUCUUUGCGUUUGCAAGGGAGGUCCCUUGAGAGGAUUGUCGAGCAUUGCUCAUUGAGAUUGAUGUUGGAAGCUUCUAUGAGCCUUCGCUUGUUGGUGAAGAUCUCCCUUAGGAACUUGGCGUAUUGAGGCAUCCUUUCGAUUGCCUCGACGAAAAGAACGGUGAAGUUCAUAUUGCAAAGUCGAAGCACAAGUUGCUUUAAGCUCUUCUCGAGAAGAUCCUUAUCCAAUUGGUUGGGAUAAGGUGGCUUAGGGUUGUAUGGAGCCGACUGGGGCUAGGAGAUAGGAGAAGCCUCAGUUGAACUCUUCGUAGCCUUCUUGGAACCAACUUCAGUUGACACCUUUGGCUUUCCAUUACUCUUUGGAGCUUUCGGAACUAAUGCAUGCGGAACCGGUGCACUUUCUUCGACCAUCACUUCAUUCUCUUAAUCACUAGAUGCUUCAUUUUUCAUUAACAUCUUUCACAAGAAAUUCAUUAUCAUGCACAAGCUUGCUAGGUACAUCGAUAGGAGGAUCGAUUAAAUUUAGGAGUUGUGGACACAUAGUGUCUCAUGCUCCUAGUUGUGAUAGAUCCACAAGUUUCCUUGCUCUUUGGAUUGGUUAUGAUAUUUCUAGGUAGAGUGCACGGUUGCCGACUUGAAAGAGCGUGUGUGAGGUAUCCAACUUGAUUCUUAAGAUCCACCAUUUGAGCUUGAGUUGAGGCAUUGUGGGUGUCUUGAAAUGCUCUUUGCUCUUGAGUCACCUUGUUGUGCUCUUGGAAGAACUUAGCUUGAUUCUCAAUCAUUUGGUUUCCUCCAUUGAAGCUCCCUUGAACAUAAUCAACUUCUUUAAUGAAGUGCUCUUCCUCCGGUGCGAAAUCGGGAGCAAGGGAUUGGCAAGUAGAGGUGGCAUGCCCUUCGUUCCCAUAACAUUCACAAACAAAGAGUUGCACAACCAGUUGAUUCACCUUUGGUUCUUGUACCUCUUUCUUUUGAGGUGGAGUGGCGGUUGGUCUCACCACCGGUUGAGCCAAGGCAAGUGCUUUGAUUUGAGCCGCCAUGCCAUCCAUCCUUGAUAGCAUCAAGUGAACAAGAUGGUUGGGAUCUUCCUCCUUAUGUCCCGGCAUCUCCUUAAGGACCUUUGGAGCUUGAGUGCGAGUACAAACAUAAGGAUCUAUGCUCACCACCUUAGCUUCUAUAGGACCUUGUUGCCUAGACCAACUCUUCAUCUUCACCGCCAUUUCCCGGAAGACUUGAAGCCAUCAUUUGGCGAGGAGUGAUCUCAAGUCUCCUCCCGCCGCUUGAUUGGUCAUCUUGGUGUCCUCAUAAGUGAGUCCUCAUAAGUGAGUCCUCUAGCAAAGGUCUCCGCGAGUUUCCACUCAUUGAAGUUGAAGUUGUGAUGAGGGCAAGAGUAGAGAAGGGCUUGGGACCUCUCCCAAGCUUCAAAGAAUGGCUCUCCAUUAAUUUUCUCAAAGUUGGAGAUUCUACUUUGGAUCUCAUCCGUCUUGUAAGGCAGGAAGAAUUCCUCCAAGAAGGCCUUUGCUAGAUUGUCCCAAGCUUGGAAGGUAUUGUUUCGUUGGUUGUCGAGCCAUUGAUUUGCCUUCCAUUGGAGUGAGAAGGGAAGAGUCGGAGUUGAAUGGCUUCUUGCGACACAUGAUUGAACUUCAUUAGAUCCAUGAUCUCGAGAUAGCUACUUGGACAUUCGUGCUCGUGCCCAUGGUAUACGUUUUGUUGCACCAUUUGAAUGUAGUUGAACUUCAACUCGAAGUUCCGGUUAUCAAUAAGGGGUGGAGCACACUUGAAGAAGUACCUUCAAGAGUUGGCUUAGGUAAUCACCUAGAGUUCUUUGAGGUUCUUGAGCCAUCUCAAAGAUGUUAACAAAUUCAUCAGCCUCUCCUUUGCAAGAUGAAACAAUUGAUGAGUGAUCCAGGGUUGUUAAAGAAGUUGCGAUGUGAGGUGGUGGUGGUGCUUGAGGUGGAGAUGAGAUGAAUCUCUUUGGUAGACGCCUUGUACGCUUCAAUCUUCUCAUGCACUAAUAGUGCAUGAACGGAACCUACACAACAAAGCAAACAACCAAGGGAACACAACAAAGGAAUAAACACACAAGAAGGGGGUAGCAAUAAGUAAAAUGGAUUAGGUAGAAUGCCUAAAUCGGUGUCUAAUCUACUCUUUCAAGGGGGUGAUUACACUCCCCAACAAUGGCGCGAUUUUGAUCCUCUAAAAAAGAACCAAACAAACAUGAUCGGCUAAGAAAAGGGACUAAUCCCAAACCCAAGGUCUCAAGUGACAAUUUUCACGAGGAACAGACCACCAACCCUAUACUCAACUAUUAAAGACACGGUUUAAGCUCACAAAAGUUCAAAAUGCUAGUUCCUUAAAUUAUCCACUAAAGUACAUAUCAUUCACAAGAGUAAUUGGAACUAAAUUAAGCUAACGAACUAAGCAAACAAGAUACUAAAGAGGGUGAACACAAGGAGAGGAGGGUUGCUAGAUUUCGGGUGUUGUUUUUGCACUCAAAUCCGAUUCAAAAGAAAUAUUGGCCACACUGGAAAAAAGUUAUGGUUUGACCAUCCUCUAAACAUUCGUAGCAGUGUAAUUCAAGGUCUUAAAUUGGACUACCACUACCAAUUGGCAAGUGAGCAAGCCAAUUGGUAGUGAACACCAAGUGUUCAACAAAAUUCUUAGAUGCUAAAAGACUUACUGGCAUCACAAACACUUGACAAGGGUGCUAAGUCACUAUUUGACACCCCCUAACAUUCCAAUCGCCUAAAUUGUCACUACCUAAGUGAUUACCAAAAUGCACUCAAGGUGUUCGAUAAAAUGCCACUAAGAGAAUCCUCACACUAAAGGUUGAAUUGGGGUGUGUGCUUGGUCCACACACCCUUAAUCCAAUCUUGGACUACACACUUACUCAAGUCAAGCACAAUUAAGUAAUUGAAAGAGUGCAUUUGACCUAGAACAAGCCAUAGCACAUUCUAAGUUGCAAUAACCAUAGUCCAACCAUUCUCAAAUACCAUAAUCCAUAUCCAACAUGUAUCCAAACUCUCAUCAUGAGGGGAUCAUCCUAGUACAUAGCAAUACCCUAAUCUAACAACUAAAGAGUCUAGCCACUCAUCAUGACACUAAAACUAAAGAAAAGGGAUACAAUCACCAUCAAACAACUAGAAUGAAGAAGAUGAUGAGGGUAGGAUCCUUCCUCCAAGCUCUACUAUUACAAUUCCUUCAAUCCUUGGUCUUCUCUAGCUCCCAAGCUUCUUCAAGGUCUUCAAUUGACCUUUUAAGGCUUCAAAUUGGGGGAAAAUCGAGAGAGGAGUCAUAUCAUCAUACAUCUUAAUAUUAUCUCUAAUUGGGACCACCUCAAUAUUAUCUGCAACAAUCUCAUCCUCAGUGUCAACCUCUAUGGCAAGUAGCUGUUGUAACUCCGUUUCUGAAGAUGAUGCAACCACUCCACUAGAGGAGGCAUCACAAUGAACAGCAAACCUACAUGAACAAACUCUAUACGAUUGAGGUUACCAAACAAAUCACCCCACACUUAUCUUUUGCAUAAACCAAUAUGCAUUAAUCAAGCUGUAGAAAAAGAGAAGAGUGGGCUUAGAAGCAACUAUUGAACAUCUCAUCCAAAUAGGAAAUCUGUCAUAAUAAAGAAUACUCAACAUCAUUAAGGCAAUCCACGUAAGGUUUAGGGCACUUAGAAACUAUCCACAAAGUCACACAAACAAUGUAAGACAUGUAAAAUUUCAUAAAUUCUUAACCCAGAAAAAUACCGAGCAAAACUCAACAUUCCUAUGACACCUAAUCAUAUAAUUUCAAAGUGCAAAGGAUGUCAUUAACAUCCUAUAUCAUACCCAAUUGAAUUCUAGCAUCAUCAAUUUCACAAAACCUCAUAUUUGAAAUUUCAAGUUCUUCAAGCUAAUCAUCAAUCUCAACAAUUUAACCAAUCAGGGCAAAGUGAACAAGGAGAAACUGGGCAAAAUUCAAUGUAAACUAGCUCAAAACUCACUCAAAGUUGAUGAAAAACGAAGGGGGGAGAUUGGGGGAGGGUUCGGCGGUGACCGACAACGGUUCUAUGGUGACAGGAGUGCGGAGUUUUGAAUGACGGCAAAGGGGUAGGAGGGUGGAGUCGGCGUCAGUGGAAUGUUUGAAAAAAAUAUGGUUCAAAAAUCGGCUAAGGCUAGAAUAUUUAGAAACCCGUGUCAACUAUUGCAUUGUAGAAGUGUCAAAAAUGCGGUAUGGACAUAGCGCAAUGUUUGACAAAUCAUAGCGCAAUGAUUGAAAGGAUUUCCAGAACUCAAUGUCAACAUUUUUUCUAUAGAUGGUCAAUUAUUGCGCUAUGGGCAUAGCACAAUGCUUGACACAGAUCCAUAGCACAAAGGUUGACAUCCUAUUAUGUGAACUUCCAUAGUUCAUGAAAGAAUCAACACUCUUUGCAUUGACGACUGGGGACAAGAAUGACACUCAAGUAUCACGUUCUAGACUCGAUCUAACUCCUACACAUGCAAAUUGACUCAAAGAAUAUGAAAAAUACUGACUCCAGACAUGGGCUUCCUUCCAUGAAGCGCUCUUUCUUUAACGUCUUUGAGCUAGAUGAUACAAGGACCUCAAUUUAGCAUCUUCAAAGUAAUGAACUUUUACUCCAUCGGUAGGCUUGGUACUGAGAUAUAGCUUGAGACGUUGACCGCUGAAUUUAAUGUUCCUUGGUCCGGAUGUGUGAUCUCCACAAAUCGGUAGGGAAAUGAUUGUGUGACUUCAUAAGGUCCCGACCAUCUUGAUUGUAAUUUUCCCAAAAAUAGUCAGAGCUGGGAGUUGUAGAGCAGCACCUUAUCUCCCUACUUGAAUUCUUUGACCCCUUGAAUAUUAGCAUCGUCGAUUCGUUUCAUCCUUUCCUUAUAUAUACAUGAGCUCUCGUAAGUAUGAAACAUGUGCUCCUCUAGCUCAAGGAGCUAAUAUUUGCAUUCUGAAGCUACGAGACUAUCAUCCAUGUUUAGCAGCUUCAUGGCCCACCAUGCAUUAUGCUCAAGCUCGACCGGUAAAUGAUAAGCCUUUCCAUAAACGAAUCGAUACGGGAAAGUGUAGAUAGGGAUCUUGAAGGCGGUUCGGUAAGCCCAUAGAGCUUCAUCGAGCCAAAUCGACCUGUCCUUAUGAGACUGAUCGACUGUGCUAUCAAGAAUCUGCUUAAGCUCACGAUUCUUCACCUCCACUUGACCGCUUGCAUGUGGAUGGUAAGCGGUCAUCAAUCAAGGAGCUAUGCUAAAUGUUUGGCAAACUCAAUAGAAUUGACCCUGAAAGUGAGUGACUUUAUCGCUAAUGAUAGCAUGAAGGCCGCUGAAACGCAUGAAAACGCAUGUAAUAAACUUUCCCACUGUCAGAACAUAGUUAGUAGACAGCGGUUGCGCCUCUGCCCACUUUGAGACAUAAUCCACUUUGAAAUGUUACAUGUACGUUGGCAGUUGAUUUUGGGCUUUAAUCUGAAUUCUGUGAAUUUUGGAAAUUGGCUGAUCAAUGGACAGUCACAGGCAUGACAGUCAGUCUAUCACGGGAAAGGUUGUCAGACAGACCACGACCGUUGUCAGCAAACAUUCAUGGGCGUGACCACUGGAAGAUCAAGGGCUUGACCAUCAGGAGGUCAUGGUUGUGACCAUCAGUAGGUCACGGGCAUGGUUUCUAUGUGGCCACGGGUAUGGUGGUAAGUUGGACAUGGGCGUGGUGGACUUAUUAUAUAAGGACAGUUGCAACUUACAACUCAGAAUUACUGAAACCUAAGAACUUUGAAUCCCUCUGCAAAUGGCAAUCAAUUUCAGGAGAUGGAGAAAUCCCAUUUGAUCUAAUCCCAAAUCAUUAGGAAAGGUCUAGAAAUCGUUGAGGAUGCUUCCAAAGCUACUCAAUCUUCUUCCUCCUUUCUCAAUCCUUGAUUGGAAAUCCUACGUAGGAAAUUCCUGACACAUUAGGAUUUGGGGUUUUCAGAUUUCAAUCCUAUGAAUUAAUCUCUACGGGUCAGACAGAACAUGAGGCUUGAUCUUGGGAAGGUAGCUUCAUAUUAGACUCUACUAGGAAAGCUAAUCAGAGGUGGGGGGUUAGGAUUUCUUUUCUGCUUUAAGUGUAGAACUGUAAUUAGGAUUGUCAGGAAUCCGAUUAUUAGAUUCUCAGACUGUGUAGUAGCAUAUGAUUUAUUGUACAUGUGUUGUGAUUUGAAGGGCUCUCAAGACUGUGCAAUAGCGUGUGAUCUACUGUACAUGUAUUACGAUUUUUAGAGCCAAGCUCUUAGUAUUGUGCAGUAACGUGUGAUCUACUGUACAUGGGUUGUGAAACAGAGCCAGGCUCUCAGACUAUGUAGUAGCGUGUAAUCUACUGUACAUGCAGUUGUUUAAUUUCGAGCAUAAGCUCAUGGUGAUUAAACUAUGCUUGUGAUUCACAGUUCAUGUUAGGACAGGAUCAUGUUUAGCUAGAUUAGCUCUCGAUAUGCAUUGGUCACCCGCCCAUGGAUUGCGCAAUCCCUUAGGUCAUGUUCAGGCUCAUGUUGGACGUGUCGAGUAUGCCUAUAGAUGCUGCUCACACGGUUUUCAGGAUGGUUUCAUAGUUUGAUCCACCAUGAGGCUAUCUACCAUAGCUAGGGGUGGUUGUUGUCAAGAUGAUGCCUACAACCUGUGAGUAAUGCAUGGGUCGAACCAUGUAGUUCGAUUGGGUCUUCUAGGGGCGUGUUUCACGGUAAUCUUCUAUAUAUGUCCCGAAAGCAAGGAUGGUGGCUAUCUCGGUAAACCACUAGCGCUUGUAGAGGUGAUGAUCCGAGACUUCCUUUGCUUCUUCCAAGAGAAAUAAUUGAUCAUCCAGAAAGAGCUCAUUUAUCUCUGCUUCAGCGAAUCGACCCAGAGAAGGCCCUUCAAGGUGCGAUAGGUGGUUAGCUGCAACGUUCUCUGAUCUCGCCUUGCCCUUAAUAGUCAUGUCAAACUCUUGAAGGAGUAGCACCUAGUGAAUCAAUCUCAAGUUCCCAUCCUGUUUAGCUAUAAGAUACUUAAGAGCAAAAUGGUCGCCGGAAUCUGGGCAGAGGUCGCCAGCGGUAACGGCCUCACUAGAGAAGAAGGGUGACCUCCCCACAAUCAUGAGGAGUUCAGUGACCAGAUCUGCAAAGUCUGAAAGAUAAGUUGCUGUUGUGCAUUUGAAUAUUCUAAAGUCUAGCUUCCGUAGCUCUGAAGUUUUGGAUGGUUUACAGUUAUGGACCUUGGUCAGAUUUUUUAUCAUUUGGAAGUUCUAGAUCAGUUAGUGUAAUGGAGGUCAUUAGAGGACUAGAGUAACAUUUAUGUCCUUAAAAUUUUCAGAUUAUUGCAAAUAAGUAAAUGGAGAAGAACUCGGUCGUUUGAGCUCCAAAUGACGCACGGUUAGAACUUACGGAUUUAUGGCAACGAGAGAAAUCAUGCCAAGUUAGGAUCAAAGGUGUCAGAUCUUCUUAACAGGUGGGGGUUUAGGAUUACAUUCUGCUUAUAAGCUUAGAACUAUAAUAGGAUGUUAGGGAAUCCGAUUAUUGGAUUCUUCAUGUGAUUCAGAGCAAGGGCUCUCAGGAUUGUACAAUAGCGUGUGAUCUACUGUAUAAAUGUUGUGAUGUGAUUCGGAGCAAGUGCUCUCGGACUAUAUAGUAGCGCAUAAUCUACUCUAUAGAUGUUGUGAUGUGCUUUGGAGUGUGGGCUCUUAGGCUGUACAAUAGCGUGUGAUCUACAGUAGAGGCAAUUAUUAUAAUUCGAGCAUAAGCUCUUGGCGUUUGGACUGUGGCAUGUGAUUCACAGUUCAUGUUAGGAUAGGAUAGGCCUAGAUAGACUAGGUCACAAUUAUGAUACGUCGGGCACCCACCCAUGGAUUGCACAAUCCCCCAUGUUAUAAUCGGGCUCAGGCAGGACGUGUUGAGUAUGCAUACUGAUGCUGCUCAUACGGUAUUCAGAGUGGUUUUAUGGUCUGAUCUACCGUGAGGUCAUCCACAUAGCUAGGGGUGGCUGAUGUUAUGUUGAUGCCUACUGGACCAGAUGGUCACAUUACUAGAGUAGUGACUACAUAGAAUUCCAUGUUCUAUUCUUAGUACAGGUCAGUUUCAAUCUCAGUUCUACGCGAGUCCAGAUAGCCACUUAGUGUUUAUCACUAACUCUAUUAGAUAUUAUUUUCUCUGGUGUAUAUGUGUGUUCGGUCACAAGAACUGGAGCUGAUGGUGGGGAGAGAGCUAGUCGGAGUUUUGAUAUCACAUGAUAUAUGUUUUGAUGUAUUUUCAGUACUAGAGUUGCAUCUCCUUUUAUCAUGUUGUGAUUUGGGAUCCGAGAUCCUUGUUGGUCAAUUUUAUCAAAGUAUUUCGGUUCAACUUUUAAUGCUUGUUUUUGCUCAUUUAUUAGUAGUAGAGAGUAGAGGUUGGUUCAGCUUGGAACCCGAUAAGAUUUCUUGAUUGAACCAGUGGUUCGACCAAAACUCUUAGGGUGGGGUUUCAGAGAAAAUGUGAUAGUGAAAUAUACAUUUCCCAAAAAAAUUCAUCUUCCCACCGAUAAGUUUUGGCUAUUUUCGUAUUUUCAUAAUUACCUUUAUUUUAGAUUGUAUGAUUCAAUUCAUUACCAAUUGUCAGAUUAUGUUGUGACAUCAUCAUUUCUAUCAAACGAACAACAUUGGCUCCAUUUAUAGGAUUUUAUCUAUUGCAUAUAAGACUAUUGGAUCCAUUUUGAUUUGUAAAAGUGGGUCCUACUUCCAUCUCAUUUUGUUUUGAAAUUUUGCAUACUUCACUUUGAAAGGCUUCUCAUUAAUGCAAUUCAAAAACAUUUGCAAAAGUGGACUUACAUGAAUAAAAUGAUCAUUUCUUAUAUAUUAUUUUAUUAGCAAAUAAUGAUAUGAGAAGGCCCAAUCCAUUGGGUCUUGAUCAGAAUGGCACAACCUAUUAAAAAUACCUAUUUUGGCAUAACAUAAUUAUAAUUUUACAAAAUAAAAUAUUUAAUUGACUUUUUAAAACUCAAUACAAAAAACUAAAAAAAUAUCAAAGUUCAUCAUAUUCUUCUCCCACCACCAUCCUAUCUCCACUAUCUUCUUAUCAUCCCCAUCAUCCAUUGCUAAACCCAACAAUUACUUUCUCUAAAUCUAUCACUUACCAAAUCCAAAAUCAUAUUCAUUUGUACACACAACCAAGUAUGCAAAUUUUAGAUAUGAUUUGUGUUGGUUUUUUAGAUCUGAUUUUGUCGAUCUCGAAGGUGAAGAUGAUUGACGACGGGGAAGGGGACUCUAAUACCCAAAUAUGCUACUGGAGAAUAAUCCAUCUUUCCAGACUAUUGCAAUUCAUACCGCUCCUUGAAUACUUACAGAGAAAGACGGCGCAUCGAGCUCAAAAGGAGAGGGUAGCGAGCAAUCGAAGGAGAGUAGAAAAAGCCGUUGCAAGCAAAAGAGAAAUCGACCACCAGAUCUCCUAGGAUUCCUCAUCUGAGGAAGCCAUCAAGAGAUUUUUUCCUAUAAGUCAGUUCAGCUACUAAAGCUACAAGUGGUGAUGAUGAAUAAGCUUCCAUAAGUGGUUCGCUGGGUAUCUCUACUUUGACCUCCUUCAUGGGAGCUCCGUCGUCGCCGCUGGCGACCCUAAAAAAGAACAUGCAUUUAAACGCGUUUACACACUAAACUAAAAAGGAGAAUGAAAGACUAUAAUUGGAAUUUCAACAACAAGAGAAAGUUAACUUCUUUUUUCUAAUCCACCGUCGGGAGGAGCAGCAGCAAGCUUCGCCCGUCUUCUUCCCUUUUGGGAUUUUUUUGAAUUAAUUAAGAAUUUUAUUAAUUAGAAGUUUAAAAUUAUAUGAUGUGGAGCCUAUAUUGAAGUCAAGUGGGAGGUACGUCAGGGGUGUUAAGUUUGACUGUUAAGUUGAUGGUCAAAUUUCAAAUAUGUGCCACAAUAAGUAUUUCUAAUAGGUUAUGCCAUUCUGGGUUUAGACCCAAUAGGUUGGGCCUCCUUAGAUCAUUAUUCAUUUUAUUAACUACAUAUAUGUUAUAAAAAUGUAUAAGUGACAAGUGGGUCUCAAAUGAUUAAAAAAUAUAAAUGAAAAAAUGGGCCACAAGUGAGAUUAUCACUUUGACUUGGAACGAGUACAAAUUUGCACUUAAAAUGAUCCUUUCCCAUCAAUAAUAUUCUCAUUUAAAUUUAAAAAUUGCCACAUAGGCUCCAUGUUACUUAACAAGUAGGGAAAAUCUCAGUGAUAAGAUGCUAUAAUAACAAAUAAUCUUGAGGCCAAAUCCAAUAACUGAGCAUGCCUUCUACAUGUCGGACUCCACCAUAUAAACACGGCCCACGUUAUAAUUGAUUCAUUAAAAAAAAGAAACAAUUUGAUGAAUUGAUGAAAGAAGCGAAAGGCAAAAGAUGGAAAUUGUCGUUUCUCUUCCUAAAACUAGGGUUUUGUUUCUCUCACUAAAAUUAGGGUAUCUCUUCGUCAUGAAGACUUCCUACACCCCCAUCGCCAUCAUGCUCAAGCACAAACCUACUCCUAUCAUCAACAAACCCAUCCCACCUACCGAUGUUGUCAUCAAAACAAGACCGACCCUUACUGCACCCAUGGCCUCCCUAUCGUUGAAGGAGAGUCAUGGCUCGGAGGACCUGACCGGAAUGACAUGGCUGACGAUUGGAUACCAGAGCUGCAGCAAUCUGGAAAGCCCCACAAAGAUUCUCCGCCGACAAAGACCAGCAGGUCAACACUAAGGAGAGGCGGUGUUCCUCCGAUCUUCGAGCUACAGGGGAGCGAGACGACUCUACCCCAUACACCAUAGUGACAUCGCCGGUGUGGACAUCCGAUCAUUCCAUUCAAAGCUCAUGAAGAUCGGCUACACUUGUGUUUGGCUUUCUUUAUUUUUGUUUAGUACUCUCUUUUUAGACAUUUGGUUGAUUUUCAGUCGUACGUUGCACUUCAUUUGUUUCCUUCCUUGAGUCGGGGUAUAGUUUUGUUAAUUUUUUUGUUUAUUUCGUUGCAUCUAAAACCGUUGAUGGUCGAAGAGAUUAAAACUGUAAAUAAAAUAUUCAAUUACCUACUUUCCCCUUACAUCUUUUCUAAAAAACAACUCUCAAUUGCAUUUCUCAUGGUCAAUGUUAUAUCACGCCUCCCUCUAUAAAGAAAUUAUAUUUUGUAAAAAAAAAAAGCGAAAGGCAAAAGAUAUCGCGAGACCUAGUUCUAUAUAAACCCAUUCCAUUCGCAGGUUACGAGCGGCCGUCAUCGCUGUCACAGGGCCAGAUAUGGGAAGCGCUAAAGCUGGCAAACCCUCAAAGAAGUCUCUCAGAAACCCUAAUCCGCUUCGCAUUACCCAUAGGAAGAUUACGAAGCACAAACGGCAAGACAUUGCUGUUGAUACAGUUCCCACCGCCCUGAAGUAGAAACACAACCUCAUAUCGGAGAAGAGGAGCCCCUUCCUUCAGCUUCCCAGCAACUCAGCUUUUUCCUCAGCAAGUUCCAGUCAGCUAAUGGUCUUCAAGGUUAGUCUCUACCGCUGGAGCUCCACAAUAUUGUAUCCCAUGACAUCUCUAUUUGGUUGCUGGACAGAGGGAUUAUUAACAAUUUGUGUAUUGUAUUUGCAGAAACAUCCUUUAUUCAGUUAUUUUGAGAGCUGCCUCAGGAUGUUGAGGGCCUAGGCCAGCAUUUGAAGACUGCUUUCGGAAAGUCAUGGAAAGAAGAACGCUGUGAUCGAAAGCUCGUGGAUAGGUAAACUGAACCAGAGAGUCCUGCUGCUCUUUUCAUUUCUACAUCUGCAUUGAGAGCAAUAGAACUUUUAAGGUAUAGAUUCUCUCAGUUCUUGUUAAUGAUCUUUGUUUUGCUCGAUUUAAUCAGGGUUUGGGCUUGAUUCAAUCUUCUUCUUUUAGGGGUGUGCGUUCACUGAGCGUUCACUGACGAAAGAAUGCCAUGCUGCAAAGCUCUUCUCUAAGCACAUGAAGGUUGAAGAACAUGUGAUAUCCUUUCCCUUUUGUCACUUGUUGUUCCUAUUACAUCGUUAAACAAAAUACUAUCUCUUUAUGUUUCGAGGUGUUGUCAUUUGUUUUGGAUAUCAUUCAGUUCCUUUUAUUAUUACUGCUGCUCGAGUUACGAACAUCUGAGGAAAUAGCAAUGCUUAGGAUGUUAUUGUCCACUUCACUGUCUCGAGACACCGACAUUGUCUUUAGUUAUUAUUUAUGGGUCCAACAAGUUAUGACUUGAACCAUGGUCACAUGGAACAAAAUUAAUUUAUAAAUUCGGACUUCUGUUUCAUCAGUGACAUUUUCACUCUUCGUCAUCAUAUACAUUUGGUGUUUGUUUGUUUUUGGUAAAAGGAUUUGAUAUUACCAGUUAUAAAGAUCAAAGGGCAGUAGCAGUGCAGGAUAAGCUUUUUUCACAUCAGUCUGCUUCUAGUUCAGUAUCUUAGUUUCAAUGAUUUAUGGCUGGAAGCAUGGAGCAGUAUGGAAUUUUUGCAAACAAUUGUUGGAUUAGGAAUUUCAUACUUCUUUUCACUGCAUUUUGAUGUUGGGAUAUGAUGAGUUACACGGAUCAAAUGCUCUAGCAGUGCUGAAUAUGUUUUUUGCACGUCAGUCUGAUCCCAACUUACCGUAUUUUUACUGCCCCUACCUUUAAAUGCAUGUCCGAGUUCUAACAAUAGAUGACUUGAGACAUGGAGCCUAUGAAUGGGGGUUCUCUGUUUGAUUUUAUGACAUUUUACAAUAAUUGUCACAAAUUUUUUUGACAUUGGAUAUGAUGAUGAGUUAGAAUCAAAGGCACUAGAGAUGCUGAAUAUGAUUUUUUGCACGUCAGUCUGAUCCCAGCCUUUCGAUUUCUGAUUACUGGAAUUUAAAAUUUUACUUUGUUUUCGUCAUUUUGACAUUGGGAUAUGAUGAUGAGAUGUAGAUCAAAGGCAUUAGCGGUGCUGAAUGUUUAUUUUGCACGUCAGUCUGAUCCCAGCUCACUGUUCCGAGAUUGUGCUGCCUUCUUGCAUUUCCUAGUUAAAAAAAUGUACUCCUUGGACAUGGAUCUAAACGAACUUCAAAAUAUGAAUGAUUAAGAUUUCGUGAUCAGUGUCAUUCAUAGUUUAUGAUCACUAAUUUAAAUCUCGUGGCAUAUCUUGCAGGGUGUUUAUAGCCAAUUAGAUGCCACACUCACUGAAAGCUUAACUUACGAUUUAGGUUCUGGUUGUGUAUCCCCCCCCCUGUCCACCGCCUUUAACCUUGUACUUCUAAGCAAUUGAUUGUAUUUCCUGAAUAAUGGCUACAUAUUUCGUAAUUGUUCAUGCUCUGCUGAUUAUAUUUUUGCACGUCUCUGUUCCUAAUAAAACUGCACACUAUUUUACGAAAAAAGACGUGCACGCUAAUAUCGUACACCAAUGUAAUAUAACACUAUUAACAACAAAAAGUUCUUAGUACGGGUUCAAUGUCAUCAUGCAACAUCCAUGAUGCCGUUCCUUAGUCUCUCUACGUGACUCUGUGUUGCAUUUGGUAAACUAUUUCUUAAACUUCUGGCUCCGUUUACUGCAGGUCACUUUCUUCAAGAAUCGUGUCAAUAUUGCCAGCGGCACACCAAACAGGUUAGUCACCAGUCAUUUCAUCUCGAUAUUGAUGUUACAAUGGGUCGUUUGGAUGAGGUAUUUGAAAGUGGUAUUUUGGCUCAAGUAACUCAAACUAAAGUUAUAACUGAGUUAUUUGGGCCAAAACACUUCGUUUUCCAUCCGAAAUAAAAGUCGUUAUAUUUCAUAACUGUGAUAUUUGAAAUAAUUAUGGAUGUGAUAUUUGAAAUAACUCAAUUUAAAACCAUAACUCAAAAUGAUAGCUAAACGAAUAAUUCUUAUCCCCCAAAUUCUUACAACUGAUCCAAACGAUUAAUGUUUACUUGCUCAUCCUUUUCGUUCUAGCUGAAUAUUUGCAUUUCCGAAAUAAUGCGCCCCACAUGAGUUCGGUAUACAUUGGUGAUUGCUUUUGCAAGUUUUCCGUGCAUGAAUUGUUGUGGUAUUCAUCAGAAAAUUACCAAUAGGAAAUAGUUAAGAGGUCGUAGAAAAUGCAUCGGGAGUGUCAUUUUAUAUUGUAGGGGCAAAAAUUGAUUUUGAUGAAUUUGAACUUUCUUGACUAGAUUCUUGAUAAAAAAAACUAUCUUGACUAGGUUGAAGAAGUUGAUAGAUAUAAAAGCAAUGGGGCUCUCGCGGUUUUAAAGUUAUCGUGCUAGAUGUCCACCAUGAUGUAAAGGGUUAUUCCUUGCUCACACUUCCACAAGGGGGAGAUAUAGAGAGAAUGUCCGGUCUCUUUUCAACACAGCGAGGAGCAUAGUCGAUUUUGUCAUGUGAAGAGUUGCUGUUGUACAAGUGUUAGUUUGUUAUUUUGACAGGACACUUUUUCAAUUAUUCAAAACUUAUAUUCUAGCUAAGCUAAGGGUAAAUAUCCAUUUUGUAAUUUCACUUGUUGCUGCUUCUACCAAGAGACAGCACACAAGGAAUUAUACUCAUCGGCUUCCUGGCCGCAAUUGAGUUAAAUCUUCUUUUCGGCCCCUAGCGUUUAAAAUAAAAUAAAUCUUUCACCGGCUACCUUCAAAAUCCUCUGUUUAUCUUUCCUUUGAUCUUAUCAAAUUUUUAUAGUGACAAAGUUUGUGAAAUUACUUAAUAAAAAAAAGAAAAAAUUAUUAAACAAUUGCUAAUAUUUAGGCCCGACAUUCGAUAUAGCACAUGUUUUUUAUAAUAUUUUUUUUUGCCCAAAUUUCAAAUUAUGUUAAUUCCUUUAAGUUAAAAUUAACGGAUUGGUGACAAAUGCUGACAAGGCAAACAAUGUGUCUGAUGUGGAUGGAUGAAAAGAAGUCAAUCGGAAAUAAAUACACAGUCAACAUACAGUUAAAAAAUUUUAUAACAAAAACCACCCACAUUCCUUAUCCUCUUCGUCGACCAGCCUUUUAUCACCCACCUGUCACCUCCCUUCUAAAUUAAUUUUCAUCAGAUGGGGAGAAAGAGUGGAAGAAGAAGAAGAAGAAAGAAAGAUGGAGCAAGGUGCAUUUGAUUUGAAUCCCGACAAUGUCGACAACAAUCUUGUAUCUAAAUUCUUUGUCGAUUUGAAUUUCGAUGAUGCCAACAACAACCUCAUUCUUGAACUCUCCGUCGAUUUGAAUCCCGACGAUCCCAUCAACAACACCAUUCCUGAACUCUUCGACAAUUUGAAUCCCGACGAUGCUGAUAACAACCUCAUACCUGAAUUCUCCGUUGAUUGAAUCUCAAUGAUGCCAACAACGACUCUCUAUCGUUGUCGAUGAAAUGCCCAAGCUUGUGGAGAGAUGGAUACAGGGAGUAGUAGCAGGUACAUGUCCAAAUAUGGAUGUUGAGAAAUCCUCCUCGGCUGUCGAUUUCGAAUGGUCCCCACGUUUCAAAUUGAUUUUAGUGUUCUUGCUGGGAGUAGGUUUGCACGCGGCUGAGAUUGGGUUUAUCUGUUUGUUGCAAAUGAAUGAAUUGAAUUGGUUGGUUUUUUAUUGGGGGUGGGUUUUGCAAGCAAGUUGAGUUGUUUGAUUGGUUUGAAGUUUUUUUUGUCUUGAUUGGGUUUUGUAAAAAAUGCUAGCAGAAUACUGACAAUGGAGGAGAAGGUGGAGGAAGGAAAAAGAAGGUGGAGGAGAUGAAUGAUUUUUUUGGUAGCUGAGUUAUUAUUAUUUAAUGAAAGGAGGUAAAUAAAAUUUACCUAACUAAGCUGACGUGACCAGUGAUUGUUAUGUGGCGUCGGACAUGGUAUCUUGAUGAUUUUCUUCUUACGGCGUUUCGUGUUUGGUUAACUAUAACGGUCAACGACAAAGUCAACUGAUUUUCGUUAGUGUGAUUUGAAUUUUGUCAGAAAAAAAUGUAUUUCGGAAAACAUGUGCCAGAUCAUUUGUCGGGUUAAAACAUUGCCAAUUGUGUUAGCUAAUUUUUCCUAAAAUAAGUUAGUGACAUUUUAUCAAGUCGAUCUACACUACAGGAAACUAGAUGUUUAACAACAUCAUUUUUUCUUGUUGACGACAACCAUUUCCUGUUGUUAUGUAUCAUAACGGCGGCUUUGAUUGCGCUAUUAAGAUUGCCAAUGCAAAGAGAUCCUACCAGCGAAAUAUUGGCCGCGGUUAAGUGGGGAAGCGUAACAGCGAAUAGCUGGCCGCUGUUAGGUUGCAUCCUAAUAGCGAAAUAUGACCGAUGUUAGACGAAAUUCUAAUAGUGGCAUUGUGUCCGUUGUAAGGAUUUCGCCUAACAGCAACUACAUAUCCUCAUAGUUUUCUUAUUAUUUUAUUUUUUUCGUUUGGCUAUUUUCCAUAUAUAUCCAACUUGUUCAAGUAAUUUUUUCGAUAGGUAGAUAGAAAUACAAAUUUGGGAAACACUUUGCUAAAUAUAAAACUAGUCAUUUUGAUUAAAUAUUUGAUUGUUAGGACACAUACUAAUUCCUUGGCUUAAACUACACCAUCCUUCUAAAGUAACUACUUGAUUCAUAGUUGUUCAUCCAACAUGUACAAUCCACUAAACAUAGACUACUCCUCUUGGUCGUAAUCAAGCUCAUCGUCCCUCUCAUUUGUUUCCAUCAUAGUGCUCGUUCACAUUUGUUUGCAUCAAAUGGCUGCCAUCAUACAUUUGGAUUUAGAACAUCUGCCUCAUCUCCUCCAAAUCAUGAGAUAAGCCAACUUGAGAGUUGGCAAGAUGAGCUAUACACCUACAAUACACCAAAUAAAAGUUAGUUUUUUUAUCCAAAAAAAUUUGCAUGACCAAUUCGAAUUCACGGUUUAACUUAUACUCUUUGAUCUACAAAAUGAACAAACGAUACUAGAUUUGGAAGGACAAGUUUCGACAGCUACAAUGAAUCAAGGAAACCUUUUACAUCUACAUUAUCAAAACAUAAUUGCAGAAUUAAAAGUAUAAACCAUGAGUAAGGUUGAAUGAUAAAAUUUUCACUAUUUAGAGGUGUCGGUUAAAAUGUGCAAAUUGGAUAAUAAAUUUGCAUGGGAAGGAUGAUUAUGUAGAUUACGUAAUAAACUAACAAAUACAUAUAUACUUAUGAUUUGAAUGGGACUUGUAAGUUAAAAUUGGAGGCGCCCCUCUUAAUUUGUACCUAUUGUAUGUUCACUAACCACCCAUAAUAAAAACAAGCAAGAAAAAUUGGAUUUGGUGGAUCACUCGAUGAAGAAACAAGAUUCGAAACUAGCCCUCAUAACUUGAUUAGGUGAAGUUUCUACCUAUAACAGUCCAACUUAGUGGUAGAAUUAAUUUAGGAUUAAUGCUGAAAAAUACAAAUACUUAUUCAUUUUGCUUUCACUCUAAAUCCUAAAUGGCGCACCACUGUUCCUGACUUCUCUUUUUUGUUCUUCGAACGUAUACGAUAUGCCCUCGCCAUAGCAUCCUCCUUGCUAACCCCAUGUUAGUAUUUGGUUCCUUCAUAAACUGUUUGACUUCAACCUAUAUUCAAUCUCAAAAUCUUAAAUAUAUUAGAAUUGCAUCUUAUCAACAAAAGGUCAAAACACAAUAAAAUUAUAUGCAACUUACAUAAAAGUCUCAAGUAACAUAUGUUUCAUCUUCUCUUUCAUAACACUUGAAAAAGAACUCAGAUCUUCUUACUUCUUUUCCUUUCGCUUUCUUCUACAUUAUACGUUCUACAAUCAAUACAAAUUAACUUCUCAUGACUUUUGGAACAUAAUAUAAAGACGAUUGAUGAGAUGCUUACUUACCAUCUCUUCACGAAUUAUAUUGAAAGGUUUUGACCCUUUCGUAUGAUAGAUGUCUUGAUUAGAACGAUACCUUGUUUCUUUGCAGAUGCAGUCUAUAAAACUGCUAGUAAUUGACAAAUGACAAUAAUAAAUAUCAUUAUAUCAAAUAUAAGUACAAAUGUAAAACUUACUAGAGUUGGCUUCCCCUCCUAUAUCUGCAAAACAUAUCCCACUCACGUUCAUCAAUAUUUGGUGGUUUCCUGUCUAAGUUGAGCUGAAGACCUUGAGUAGCAUCGAUAUUUGGUGGUUUCCUAUCACGUUCAUCGAUACUAAUCAAUUUUCUUUGGAUAUGACUAAUGUAAUGAAGAAGAUAGAAGAGAUUAAAUCUAAAACCCUUAUGAUUACCCUGCAUUCAUAAAGACUGCAAUGCAAUAUGUACAGAGAGGCGUGGACACAUAGCAAAGUCCUUACAAUUUUGACAAUUACCAUCCAAUACAAUUUUGUAAGCUACAGCUAACAUUCAUGAGCUAAUAAGUUUUGUCAGGUCGGUUACGAAAGAAAACACACUUAACUUCAUAAACAAUAAUAAAUUAUGAAAACCCCCAAAUCAAAGUUAGGGCUCAUCUAAAUCAUUAACAAAUCAUACAAACUGAUUUCAAUCUCAAAAUUAAACUUAGACCCAGCACUAUAAAUAAGAUGUCUAACCUAAAGCUAGAACAAAACACUUCCAAUUCACUAAACGGAAAACAUUUCAAAGAUCUAGAUUUUACUAACCUUUCAAUUUUCUUGCUAACACAAGAUGACUGAUUGAGAUGAUGGACAGGAACCAAAAUGAGCCGCAGCUGGAAGGCCGGAGCAAGCGACGCCGGCACGAAGAAGAAAAACGCCAGCGAACGGCCGUUGGUGAAGAUACUAUCUGGCUGUGUCCUUUGUUCAAUUUGGGGAAAGUUGGGUUUUUACGUGGUGUUGGGGGGUUAUAUGUAUUUGGAGUUUCGUUUAUAUUAAUAUAAUGAAGAAUUAAGUCUCAUUUUGUUUGGGGCUUUAAAUUAAUAACCCAACGUCGGCUUGAUUCUCUACAUAGCCGCUGAUAGGAUUACUCUUAGCAGCUGCCAUCUAAAUAAGAGCCACUGUUAAGUUGUUGUAUUCCAUCAUAUUUUUUAAUUAUUAUCCUAACAUCGGCCAAUAUUAAUCAGGGCCGAUGUUAGGUAGUAAUAACGUAUCAGUAGCCUUCCAUUUAUUGUUAGGAUAUUGACCUAACAUUGAGACCAUGUCCGUUGUUAAAUUUUGUAUGUUAAAAUAUCCUAACUGCAGGUCUAUGUGGCUACAGUUAAAUUGGCAAUAUUAGGUAGUCAGUUUCUUGUAAUGCUACCUUGUUUAUCAUAGAAAAUUUGUUAUGACAAACGUGAUUGUUGUUGUUACAUAACAACACUCUAAUUUUCCAUCUAUUUUUAAUUUUAAAAAUUUGACAGUCUUAAUUUGUUGAAUAUUUUUAAUCUUUUUUACAUUUUUAUCUCUCAUAAAUAUGUCCUAAUUUUUAGUUAAAGAAUCCUCAUUCAAUUUCUAUUUCUAUUUCUAUUUUUUUACCUAUAUUUAAUUAAGUUAAUAACUUAAUAUUUCCUUAAUUGCUUUUUACAGGUUGUCAACGGAGUUCUGGUACUCCCAACAAGUGAGAAGAACGAUCAGAUUAGUAACAGAGCACAAACAAAGGUACAAAAUAAAUUACCAUAUCACAGUCUCAGGUAUAUAACUCCAUACAAUAGCACAUUCAUGGGUACAUAACUAGACAAAAAUUAAUCAAAAAUUGAUACUUCAAUACACGAGGUAUAAAAUGCAGUACCAUAUCACAAACCCCUUUUUUUUUUUUUUUUUUUUUUUUUUUUUUUUUUUUUUUUUUUUUUUUUUUUUUUUUUUUUUUUUUUUUUUUUUUUUUUUUUUUUUUUUUUUUUUUUUUUUUUUUUUUUUUUUUUUUUUUUUUUUUUUUUUUUUUUUUUUUUUUUUUUUUUUUUUUUUUUUUUUUUUUUUUUUUUUUUUUUAUUUUUUUUCUUUUUUUUUUAUUGUCUGUUUUUUUCUUUUAUCCUGUUUUUCUUCCUUUUCAAGAUCUUGAAAAGAGAGAGAAAAUGAGAGAGAGAGAAUGAGAAAGAGAAAACGAGGGAAAGAGAAUGAGAGCAAGAGAGAGAGAGAGGAGGAGAAAUUUUUGGAGUUUUUUUAUUUUUAGUGGCUUUGAUAUUGAAAAUACUAUAUAAAGAAUUUUAGAUGAAAUCAGUCAGUUGAUACAAUUAUUGUUGUUAUGUGCUAUUAUCGUAUGAUAAGCGGGUGGGGCUUUUCUUGUUUUCGUAAACAUCAAGAUUUUAUUGGUUGGGUCUAUGAUUCCAGCCUACAUGAUACUCAAAAGGGCCCUGGUUCAUCUGGAAAUGAAAAGUGCUUUAUGAACGUUUGGAUUGGUGCUUCCUUGACUCGGUUUGGUAACUUCAAUUUCUACCCACCUAUAUCGUGUUAAGUCGGAUCACCGACCUAUUUUCAUGGUUGCGACCAAGCUCAAGAAGUCAAAUCUUCCUCAUACCUUUCGCUUUAUGGCUUCAUGGUUGUCACAUGUUGAGUUUAAGCCUUUUUUUGUCGGAAUGGAAUCGGUCUUUUACCUUUAUUCAUCAGAUGUCCAUUCGAGCUACCAAACUGAAAAAAUGAAAUAAGGAAAUUUUUGGCAACAUCCAAACGAAUAGAAGGAGCUUAUCUUUAAACUUGCUGAUGUUUAAGCUCUCGCAGCUCCUCUACUCAUUCAAGACACCACAAUGGACAUUGCAAGUGACCGGAAUACUCAUUUUUUUCACGUAUCCACCUUCCGUAGGCGUGCUCGGAACCACAUUAUUAAGUGAAGGAUGACUGUGGGGUGUGUAUUCAUUAGGUUUGGGAGUCGGUUAAUUUGGUUAAUAACCAUCGGUUAAUGGUCGGGAAGCGCUUUGAUGAUUGAAAUUAAUUAACCAAAUUAACCGACCGAGCAAAAGCCACGGUUAAUCUUACCGACCGAUAACCGACCAAUCAGUUAAAUGAUCGAUUAUUAACAGACUGACUCUCGGUUAACCGUUGUAACCGGCUCUGACCAAUUUAACUCUCUUCUCAUAUUGCAACAAGAUUCUAGGCUCUGGCUCUAGAUCCGUCGUCGAUUCAAGCCUUGGAGACCAUAGCUUCUCUUCUGGAAACAAUCCGGUGCUCUACAACUUGAUCCUUCGGGACUGGAAGCUUUCCGAGACGGCGUUGUUGCGGAUCAGUAAGGAGAGGAGGAAGCUUCAAGCCUAUGGUGUUGCAGAUCGAAGAAUUGAGAGAGUGGAGGAGGAGAGGAUUGGCCGUGGCGACGAAGGAAGCAUGUGGUGUUGCAGAUCGAAGAAUCGAGAGAGUGGAGGAGGAGAGGAGCGCUUGCGGUGACUCGUCGUGGUCGUCGUCGUGACUGCCGGCGAGAUGCUGAAAUUGAAUCGCUUGGAUUGAUAGAGUUGUCGAGAUGGAUUGAUGGAGUUGUCGAGAUGGAUUGAUGGAGAUGGCUCGGAGUUAACCUAAUUUCAGAAUGAGAGGUUGUGAUGGAGUGGGAGGCUGGGAGGGGAGGGAGCGAUUCUGCGAUUGUGGUGAGCAAAGCUUGAUUUCCUAAUUGGGGACCUUGGUUUUUUUAAUUACCGGUUAACGUUGGUUAACUCGAGUUAACCAACGAUUUUACCCUGCUCCAACAAGUACUCCCAACUGUUCCCCGACCGACCCCUACCUCGGUUAAACCGACACUCUAACCGAGUCGAUCAGUUCAUCUGUUUAACCUAUUAACCGAGACUGAUGGCCCACCCUUAGUAUUCAUCCAGCUUGUUGCUGCAAUUAGUGUCGUAUUGAUAUGGUUGAGAGAGGAUAAAAUAUGCUUGAUUUCAAGUUCUCCAACUUGAAAGGUUUAGCUGUUAAAAAUGUAGAGGUCAUGACUGAGUACUGAUUUCCAGCAAGGAGAAGUUGGAUAUUUGCUUGCGAUAAAAAAGAAUUUGGACAGUCUAUCUUAGGCACAAAAUCUAACGGAUGAGAUGGCAACUUUACUUCAGGGGCCUAUUGGUCAUUUUAAAAUUUUCUUGUUUUUCAGUUUAUUUUUCCAUUCUGUUUAAUAUUGGUUCAAGUAAAAUGAUUUCUUGUAAAUUGGGUCUAUUGAGUAACGUGGGUGGGUAGACUUUAUUGCUCCCAUCGAGCUUGACGUGAUAUUUUCUUCUUCGUUUCUUUAACAUGCAUAAAUUGUAUAUAAUACGAAAGGUUGGAAAUAUAUGUGAAGCUCGAGGUUUAUUAUAUAUGUUUCGAGGUUUAUUAUAUAUGUUGAACCUUUUUGCCAAUUGGUUAUUUUUAUCAUGUAGUGCCUUAUCAAGUAAAGGGAAUGGUUGUUUUUAUCUACUGUCACUAGCCAACUUUCUUUCUCAUGUGAUCAAUUAUUUGAUCACGCAUGAAUGACUACAGUACACAAAAGAUAGAAAUAUUAUAAAAACAAAAAACAAAUAUUAAAAAAAAAUACCUAAAAAGCAGGUACAUAACAACAAAAACAAUAACCGUAAAUAUCAAGUACAUGAAAGCGGAUGCUCAAAAUAAGCACGCACACAUUAAAAACUUUGGUACAUACAAGGCAAGAAAAUCGAGAACAUAUUGGAACUCGAGUACCGGAAUUGGUACGGUAUUAAGUACAACGUGAAGAAAUAUCAAGUACAUUAAAAAGCGAGUAUAUAACAAUAGAAAUAAGUACACGAAAACAACUCAGAGAAAUGAUAAUUUGAUUGCCAAAAUUGAGUAUGAUAAAGUAAAAUGCAAGCACGUAGUACAUGAAACAAAUAUGAGUAAGAGUACAUAAAUUUUUUAGUACAAUACAAGACAAAAACUCAAAUACAUAUAAAAACUGGACACUAAAAAAAAUAAUUAAUUAUUCACAAUUUUAAAUAAUAAUAGUCACGAUUUUUAUCAUGAUUAACAGAAGCUAGUCACGAAAAUAAAUCCGUAACUAACCUAACCGAUGCUAGAUGAACUUGUCACGAAUCUGAAUAACCUGUAACUAAGUUGUCACCGAAAUUUUCCGUGACCAACUCAUCACGGAAGAAACCGUGAACAUAUGUGUUUUUGUUUUUGUUUUUUAAAUUAGUGGCACGGAGCCAUAUGCUGUGAUAAUUGAUUUAUUAAUAAAUUAAUCCCACAUCUCCGUGGCUACUAUAUCACCAGAAUUUCCAGAUUCCGGCAACCACAAUUUCCAGAAUCCGGCAAUAAGAUAGAGUUGAUAAUUGCUUUUUUAUUAGAGUAAAAUGUUCUACAUCUAUACAUUAUGAUACCCAUAUCAAAAUUCCAGAAUCCCAAAAUUGAACAUAACGUCAACGAAAGGCACCAUGCAACAAUGGUGACACUAAGGGUUACAACAACCAGCAAAACCGAAACACAGACUGGAAAUGCUACCAAGAGAAGGAUGAGACUAGAUGAUGAGAUUGAGAUUGAGAGAAGAAAAAUGAUAGUAAGAAAUUUUGUUUUCGAGAGAGAUCAAAUGAAGAUGAGAUCUACUUCUAAUUUAAUAUAAUGGAAAUGGAGAUAUGGUUGUUUAAUGGCAAAGAGAGAAGAAAGGAAUAGCCCAUUAAACGAGGAUAGAGUCUGCAUCAUUUCUUUUUUCGACCUUUUCCCACUAAAAUGCUAAUUUUAAAAUUAUAAAUAAAAGUUGGUCACGGUUCCAACAUUUACCGUGAGUAGUUGGUCGCGGUAUUCAACAAUCCAUGACUAGUUAUGGAUUUUUUUUUAUCUAUAAGUAGUUAGUCAUGGUUUUUAAAGCCGUGAUUAAUAAAUCGUGAUUAAUCGUUGAUUUUUUUUGUAGUGCGAGUAUGAGUAUUGAGUAAAACGUCAUGUACAAAAACAAGUACAUCAAAAGCGAGUACAUAAUUAUCAAAACAAGUACUAAAACGAGAGGAAAAGUACAUAAAAAGCGAGUAUAUAAUAAUAGAAACAAGUGCAGUAAAAAUCAAGUGCAUGAAAGGAAAACGAAACUCAAACUAAACACUAAUACAAAAAAAACUUUAGUACGCAAAUAAGUAAAUACAAGAAAAUUAACAUACACAAACGAAUACAUAAGAGUAUAGUGUUUAAACAAAGCGAUUAUACGGAUCAAUACGAUGUUGAGUACAAAACAACAACUUGAGGCUUUAUCCCUCAUUUUUAGAUGAUUUUGUACUAAGUUCUUAUAUGUAUUAGUUUUUAUUAAUGUAAUCCCUCGUGUACUUUGUCUUUGGAUUUAUUUUUAUGCCAUAUCUAUUUAUUUACGCAUUUGUGUAUACUUAUAUUUUUAGAACUUUAUACUCAAAUCAAUUAAUCAAACAAUAAAACUAUUUUCUCUUUACACGAACCAACAUAAUAACCCAUCACCCCAUACAGGGUUGUGAAGGAGGUGCAGUGACCAGAAUUUUCUAGUUGUUGCUUUUCUAUAGUUUGAUAAGGGUAAGCAUCUUGUUCUAGAAUAUAUGUUGUUAGGUUAUAACAAUGCAUCUAGUUGAGCAUGAUUCUUUGGUCAAGUGUUACUGGGAUUCUUUUUGUUCCACAUCAAUGCUCGGAGGUCGAAGAGGCAACGAGGGUGACGAAGAAAUCGGCAUCACCACGUGAGAGAAGAUGAAGAAGAGGUCAGAGAGUGGAGCCGGUGGAAAAGAUAUACUAGAAGAGGUACUUAAAGUUACUUGUACGACAAAACUGCCCUUAUUCAAUUGGACAACCCCUAGAUUAAAAUUUAAAAAUGAACGGACGCGAUUCGUUUGCGGCCAGCAAACACAUAAUAUCAUGGCUGCCUAUCCGGACUCGUCAUAACUGGCGUCAACAUUACGUAGUGUUGUCAAAAAUUAAAAAGGGGAAUAUAUAAUAAUAAUAAUAACAGACGUAAUCUUGUGUAUAUAAUGAUAUUAAAACGUUUUUCAAUCGACAAAGCCAAGUCUGCGGGAGGAACAGCUAAUGGACGAACAGCCUAAGCAUAAGCCGCCUUCUUCGUAUUCUUCAGAUUCUCUGAAUCUCUACCCUUUUUUUUUGUUACGCGGAUUCCCUUCCCUCGUCUGCAAACAAAAAGCUCUUCGUUGACUUUUUAGCAGGCUUUUUUAAAAAACCUUAAUUGAAAAAAUUUGUACAUGGUUGUUGCCUUUGUUGGCGUCAGCAUGACCCAAUGCUGUUGUCAUGUUCAUGAUUGCUCCAACUCACCUGGCUGCGCAUCUGCCUUCUGACCUGACCUGCCCUCCUCCUUUUUUUUAAAUUAUGUUUCCCCAAAAUUAAAUUUAAAUCGUUACAAAAUUGGUCUCUCCUUCUCCUAUAUAUAACGUGGAAGAGCUCCUGCCAAAAAAGUCAUUCAAACUCAAAGCAGAUAAAUUAUCAAAAUAAAAAAGAAAACCCCAGUGCUCUGCCUGCCGUUAAGAAAUUAGUUUAUUGGGUUUGUUGUGUUUAUGAAAGCUGUGUUCCAGAGACUGAUAUCGUCAAGCACCCAGAUUGGCUGUAGGAAGAAAGUUGCAUCUUUUCCAUUAAUCAGAAGCGCUAAUAUGUCUGAAUCCUCUGCCUUUGAUUCUCCGAGAUUGGUGACCAAGAAGGUCCUUGCUAAGCUUCAGCGUGAAGGGGAUGGUGCUUCUGUCAGGAGAAGCAUUGGAAGGUAUAAUAUAAUAUAUCAUGGAUGGAUGGAUGGAUAUACAAUUUUCUUCUUGUCAAAAUUGAAUUAACUGUUUUCGUUUCUGUGGUGAAAUUGAAUGAUUGAAUGUUGAAUUAUUUUGGUUCAGGAGUGAGCUCAGGUCUCUGGACCCUUUCCUCAUGUUGGAUGAGUUUUCAGGUCUGCUUUGCUUAAUUACUUGAAACCAAAUUCCUUGAUAUUUUCUAGAAUUAGGAUGAUGAUGGAUGAUGGAUGGUAUUUAAUUUGUUGUUGCAAAUUGCAAUGCAUGAAGUCUCAGCUCCUGCUGGAUUUCCUGAUCAUCCACACAGAGGUUUUGAGACUGUUACAUACAUGCUGGAGGUACAGACAGUACUGGAGUUAAUUAUUUAUUAUGAAUUGAAGGCUGUUUUUUGUCCUUGGUAGUCUAUUUAUUGAUGUCUGUGAAAUUCGUGGGUGGCACUGGCAGGGAUCAUUCACUCAUCAAGAUUUUUCUGGGCAUAGAGGGACUAUUCAUGCCGGGGAUGUUCAAGUAAAAUAAUUCACUCAAUUACAAUACUACGACGUUUACUUAAUUAGCUAGCUUUACUUGAUCAAAGUCAAAAACUCUUUCUUUUUUUAAAGUAAACAACAACAACAACUUGUGUGUUUUCCUGUUGGGCAGUGGAUGACAGCAGGUAGAGGGAUAGUCCAUUCAGAAAUGCCUGCAGGAGAAGGAGUCCAGAGAGGCCUUCAGCUUUGGAUAAACCUCUCUUCUCAACAUAAAAUGUAUGUUUUUAUUUCCUUUUUUGUUUGUACUUUCCAACUUCACCAUUCCAACAGUUUGUAAUAUGGAACCAACAGGAUUGAGCCAAGGUAUCAGGAACUUCUGAGGCAGGACAUCAAAAGAGCAGAGAAAGACGGGGUUGAAGUCCGAAUCAUAGCAGGGGAAUCAAUGGAAAUCGAGUCUCCAGUUUAUACAAGGACCCCAACAAUGUACCUUGAUUUCACACUGCAACCAAGGUCCCAAAUGCACCAGCCCAUUCCAGAAUUAUGGAACGCAUUCAUUUACGUCAUUGAAGGUGAGGGAGUGUUUGGGAUCCCAAACUCCUCACCAGUUGAAGCACAUCAUACACUCGUUCUAGGCCCUGGUGAAGGAAUGAGCGCCUGGAACAACUCCUCUUCCAAACCCUUGAGGUUUGUCUUGAUUGCAGGCCAGCCACUUAACCAACCAGUGGUGCAGCAUGGUCCUUUUGUCAUGAACACAGAAUCUGAAAUCCACCAAGCAAUUGAAGAUUACCACUACUCCAAAAAUGGGUUUGAAAUGGCGCAGUAUUGGAGUUCCCAAUAGGGAACAAGUAAGUGCUUGGAUCACUCAAAACCAAAUCUCCACAUUCCCUCUCAACUUUGAAGAAGAAAAGAGUAAAGAAUAAAAAUACACAUCCACAAACACUAAAGGCCACACGCAUAUGUGAGUGAUACUCAUUUGUGUUCCAUCAUGUAUUAAUUUAGCUUUUAUCCUCUUCCAACCUUUUACUAUUCCAAAUCAAAAGGUUGAUUAUUGCAUUGUCACACAAAACAAUGAUAAUAAAAAUACUCAAUUCAUAUAAUCCUUAGAAUUAAUUCUUUUCAUAACUAUAGUAGAUGUUUGAACAAGUGAGAACAAAAUAUAAGCUUAAUCUUAAUAGUAAUAUCAACGGAUAAUAGCACUGUGUGUCACUUAAUUAUUACCCAUGUCGCACAUAAACUACUUAACUUUCUACAUUGCACAUAAAGCCACUUAACUUUGCUUAUGCUUGCAACAUCCAAAUUUUCAUUCAAUUUAUGGAUAGACUGAUCGAAUUGAUGAGUUCUUAUUCGAGAUCUUCUGUAUGAAUAACCUCCAACACAUUAAAGAGAACAAUAAUUUAUAAGAACUGACAGAAUAACUUAUUACUUGUUUACAGAAAAGAAUGAUAAAAUAAAAAGGCAAGAAUAGAUUAUAAUCAUGCCUUGGACACUGCUUUCGAAAAAAUAUUUCCCGAAUUUAGAACACCAAUACAACUAAAGGUUAAUCACAAUAUUCACUCAAACUCUAGUGUAGGGCUUGAAUGUUGGAACUUGGAAACUUAUGCUAUUUUGAUUCCGAUUUUGAGAGUGAAAACAAAGUUUUCUGCCCAUAUUAAUCAACUAGGAUUUCCCUUUUUAAAGAGAACGCAUCCACUAACCAACAUCAAAUCCAGAUUCUCCUUUCUGAUGAUCAUCAAUGAUAAGCAGAUAUGGGGAAGGUGGAGUUGAGCUCCCGAUUUCUAGGAAGCCAACCAAAUACUUCUGUUAAGCAUAAGUCUUGAGUAUAUGCGGUAUGUAACUGAUCAUUACUGUUACUUCAAGUGGUUAGAUAAUGGUUACAUCAUCUUGCUGUUGUCCGUUGAUGACAUGUUGAUAGCAAGUUCUAUUGUAAAAGAAGUAAACAAGUUGAAGAAACAGUUAUCUAACAGUUUACUAUUAAGAAUAUAGGAGACGCUAAACAGAUUUUGAGUAUGUGCAUUGAUCAUGAUAGGCAAGUAGGAAAGUUUUAUCUUUCGCAAGUUGAAUAUAUCAAGAAAGUCUUGAAGAGGUUCAAAAUGCAGGAUGCAAAACUAGUAAAGAUUCCUUUGGGUGGCUAUUUCAAGCUAUUUGAGAAGGAUAUGCCUAAUAAUGAUCCAGAACGUGCCCAAAUGCACGAAACACCAUACAUUUUUGUAAUUGAUAGCUUGAUGUAUGGAAUGGUGUGCACAAUACCAGAAAUUGCACAUGUAGUGGGAGUUGUCAAUAGAUUCAUGGGAAAUCGGGGGGAAGCGAUUAAGUACUCCUGAGAUAGUUGAAGAUUACUACUAAAAGGGUCUUGGGCUUUGAGGGCAAAGUAAUGUAGUUAGAAGGAUUUGUCAUCAAGUGACCUUGAUAGAAGAAGAUGUACAACAUGGUAUAUUUUUACUCUUUGAGGUACCAUGGUUUCUUGGGCUUUUAAGUUGCACUGUCUAACACUCAAGCUAAAUAUGUUGCGGUAACGAAGGCCAGCAAAGAGAUGGUAUGGUUUUAGAAUUUCUUUGGUGAAUUGGGGAAGAAGAAAGAGGAUAGCAUAUUGUACAUUAGUCUUAUACACUUGCAAAAAAUUCAGCAUUUCAUUCAAAAUCGAAGCUCAUAUUGAGUUGAUGUAUCACUUUAUGGGUUGAUCUCUUGGAAAGGAAGAUCUUACGGCUUAUGAAGAUUCUAGGAAGUGAGAAUCCUAUGGAUAUGCCGACUAAGGUUGUAAAGUUGGAGAAGUUGACACUGUGUAUGACUUUAACUGGUUUUGUAACUGAAGUUGAAGGUCAGAUGCUGCUUGUAGUAGGAAGACGUUGAACAUGGAGAACCAAUGAGAGGAGUAUGUCUUCAGGUGGGAGAUUGUUGGGUUAUGGUGCCUAAGAAACUGAAGGCUUGGUCCAGUUAGUUUGUUUAGUUAGAUAAAAAUUAAGAUUAAUCUUGUCUAUUCUAUAUAGGAUUAGAAUUAAUAUGGUAGCUCCCUAUAAAUAAUCUAUAUUCAUAUCAUUGUAAUCUGUAUCACAACAAUAGUAGUCGAAAUCCUAACUUGGUUUGUAAAAAAAGAAAUUCUAGCGUGGUAGCGCCCUAGACAUACUCUUCUCGUGAAGAGGAACUAGGUUCUUAAUUUUUCAGUUUAUGAUUGCGUUUCAUUUUUUACAGGAACGACCAGAUCCAGCUCAGAAACUUCCUCAAGAUGGCGACGUUGAAGAAGCUCUGUCUCGCUAACGCCUAACAAUGGCUUCUCUAGACUGAUUCAGACUGUCCUCACCGCUGGAAAAGGAGAUUAGAUAGAAAUCCAUCUUUUAUUCCUCUUCAUUGUUUUUAUGACAAUUUCUUCUUUUCUUUUAUAAUAGAGAACUAUUUAUCACUUUUGUUGGACAUUUCUUGUUUGUUUCCCUCAAGAACUAAUAAUUUUGGUCAAUGGGUGACCACUGAUGAUGUUGAUUCUAUAAGCUUUAGUAUUUAGUCAAAUUCUUGAGUUUUUUUCAACUAGAAAAAAAAAGAAGAGAGGUUACAGUUUCAAUUAUUAAGUUUGAAGAAUUAAAGAAAAAAAACUAGACUACAGAUAUGAAAAGGUAAUUCUGAUAAUUUUUAUUGAUGAAUUUUUUUUUUGUAAUGAGUAAGAUAAUUUUUUAGGUUUUAUAAAUGGGUUUUUGGUUAAAAAUCUCAUUUAGAUAGAGUUUUUGAUGGGUAAUUAUGAAAUUUGACAUAAAGGGUACAUGAUUAAAAAGGUGGGAAAGGAAGAUGCGAAAAGAAGGUAAGAAGGAAUCAAUUCAUGGCAAAAAAGAAAAAUAAAUAAGAGGGAAGAAAGAAGACAUAUAUUGAUGGGAGGCGGAGGUGGGAUAGGGAGGUGAGAGAAAGAUGUAACAACAAAGAAGGGUUUAGCGAAAGGUGNNNNNNNNNNNNNNNNNNNNNNNNNNNNNNNNNNNNNNNNNNNNNNNNNNNNNNNNNNNNNNNNNNNNNNNNNNNNNNNNNNNNNNNNNNNNNNNNNNNNNNNNNNNNNNNNNNNNNNNNNNNNNNNNNNNNNNNNNNNNNNNNNNNNNNNNNNNNNNNNNNNNNNNNNNNNNNNNNNNNNNNNNNNNNNNNNNNNNNNNNNNNNNNNNNNNNNNNNNNNNNNNNNNNNNNNNNNNNNNNNNNNNNNNNNNNNNNNNNNNNNNNNNNNNNNNNNNNNNNNNNNNNNNNNNNNNNNNNNNNNNNNNNNNNNNNNNNNNNNNNNNNNNNNNNNNNNNNNNNNNNNNNNNNNNNNNNNNNNNNNNNNNNNNNNNNNNNNNNNNNNNNNNNNNNNNNNNNNNNNNNNNNNNNNNNNNNNNNNNNNNNNNNNNNNNNNNNNNNNNNNNNNNNNNNNNNNNNNNNNNNNNNNNNNNNNNNNNNNNNNNNNNNNNNNNNNNNNNNNNNNNNNNNNNNNNNNNNNNNNNNNNNNNNNNNNNNNNNNNNNNNNNNNNNNNNNNNNNNNNNNNNNNNNNNNNNNNNNNNNNNNNNNNNNNNNNNNNNNNNNNNNNNNNNNNNNNNNNNNNNNNNNNNNNNNNNNNNNNNNNNNNNNNNNNNNNNNNNNNNNNNNNNNNNNNNNNNNNNNNNNNNNNNNNNNNNNNNNNNNNNNNNNNNNNNNNNNNNNNNNNNNNNNNNNNNNNNNNNNNNNNNNNNNNNNNNNNNNNNNNNNNNNNNNNNNNNNNNNNNNNNNNNNNNNNNNNNNNNNNNNNNNNNNNNAUGGGUUUGUGGUUAAAAAUCUCAUUUAGAUAGAGUUUUUGAUGGGUAAUUAUGAAAUUUGACAUAAAGGGUACAUGAUUAAAAAGGUGGGAAAGGAAGAUGCGAAAAGAAGGUAAGAAGGAAUCAAUUCAUGGCAAAAAAGAAAAAUAAAUAAGAGGGAAGAAAGAAGACAUAUAUUGAUGGGAGGCGGAGGUGGGAUAGGGAGGUGAGAGAAAGAUGUAACAACAAAGAAGGGUUUAGCGAAAGGUGAUAUAAACAAAAUUAAUUUUGUAAGAAAAUAUUUUUUUUAAUGCCAUGUCAACUAGUUUGUAACUUUUAGUGUCCAUGUCAACAAACAAAAUUUUAUAAAGUUACCAAAAUUCAAAAUUUGUGUUACGAAAAGUAUUUCUAAUAGAUUGUGCCAUUUUCGGUAAAGGCUUAAUAGGUUGUGCAUUUAAGAAAAAAAAUAUUAUUGUGUUUCUACAAUUAACAUCAAUUAUCACCAAACCAUUAAAUACUAAAAACCAAUUAAGAUAUAGUCAUGUUACAAAAAAUGACUCUUGUUAUGAUUUUUUUGUUUAUGCAAUGAUAGGAUGAGAUUAAAAGGUUAAUUUCUUUUUCGACAAAACUUGUAAAAUAUUAUUAAACUCAAUUAGAUAUAAUAUCAUCUACAGUUGGUCAAUCAAAAAAAUUGAGGGUCUAUCCACCGAAACAAUCGUGGAGUUCCAAUGAGUCUGAUUAUACGCCAUAACAUGGGUAAGCUUGUUAACUUAUCUCCGGCCAUGACGCCAAUUACCACAAUCAAACUUUGCCAAAAGGCAACGAAUUAUGGACUAAAAUCCAUGUUCGGUAUGAUGAUCUUCCACAUGAUGCAAAGUCUCAACCAUGAUCAAGCUAUCACUUUCAAGAACCACAUUAGGAUACCUAUGUUGCAAGGCCAAUUGUUAGCAAAAUCUUGCCUCGACCGCCUCAGUUAAAGUAGGCUCAUAGCAACCCUACAAUUUCAACAUAUCCGCCAUUAAGUAAUGCCGAACGCCAUCCCAGAUAACCACCCCAAUACCCAUUCUGGAUCCUGUAAUGAUAGUUGCGUUUAAGGUAGUGAAACUGGUGAGUCAACAUGGGAUCGAAAAGGGACCUAGAAUCGUAAUCGUAAAAUCAAAUCGCAAAAUCAUAAAAUUUCACGGUUCUUCAAUAAUACUAAAUAUUCAGAAAUUCACCUUAGCAUAAAGACGUAAGUUCAUUAUCCAAUCUAAAAUUAAAAAUAAAAUCUCAAAUUCACCUUAAUAGGUUCUUCAGUUGCACUACUUUGAGCUGAUUUUCGAGUCUAGGAGACCGGAGACAAAAUCUGUGAACAAAAUUGUACAAUCUUACAACAAAAAACAAAAUACCUUCGAACAAAGAACCUAAACACCAAAAAUCCAAAACUAAUCUAACAAAAACAGAAUUAGAGAAAGGAAUGGGAUGAUGAGCAAAAUCAUGGAAUGGGAUGAUGAAGAAUCAUGGAAUCAAGGAAACAGAGAUACCUUCGAGCCGUAGGAGUGGCUGGAGCGAUGGGGACGACCAAAGAGGCUAUGACGAGGACCAUUGACUCCUGGUUCUGGUCUUCUAGACUUCUGGGGGACGACCGACGGGGGAGACGACAAGAGAGAAGACUGAGGAUCGAGCAGAGAUCGAACGAGCAAUCGACGACUUGCACAAUUUUUUUCAGAAGAUAAAUGAAUUUAAGGUUCGAUUUUUUGCCCAAAAUUGAACUCGGAUUUCCGUUUCGGUUCGAACCGAAGCAUAAAAACCAGCGGUCAGCACAGAGUAGUGGACUCGUGAAUCGUUGUAAACUCGUUCGAUUCCACGAUUUUCACGAUUUUGCGAGCGAUUUCAUGCCAUUAUAAGCCAUUUUGAUUGCGCGUGAAAUCUGACUCGACGGACCUAACAAAACUCGUAAAAUCGUCGAUUCCACUUCCUUCGUUGUGUAUGUACUGAUAUGGGGUUCCUGGUUUAGUGGUUGAACCGGGGUUGGACCGUUUUUAAACCGGGUCGGCCAUUUUAAAUAUUACAUAAAGUUAAAUCGGACCGAAAAAAUAUUGGAUUGAACGAAAUCAAACUGACAGUACAAAUAGUCAAAUUUUGAGAUUUAACCUUUGAAAAUUGAACAAUUUUAAAAAAUUUAUGUACAUUAUGAUGUUAUUCUUUUUUAAGUUUAUGUAAUAUAAUGAUAUUAUCUAUAGUUGAAGUCUUCCACACAUAUAUAUCUAGAAUGCUAAAGAAACCCUAAUGGAUCUUUCAAUCUUUCUUUAAUUGGGCUCCAACUACUCAAUACCCUCUCUCACACUUUUUUUCUCUAUAGAGAAACUCUCUCCCUUUUUCAUCAGAUUUUUUUCUCCUUGUAAUCUAAUCUUAUUUUUCUAAUAUUUUCAUUCUAUUUCUUCCCUAUUUGUCUCUUUUACUUUUUUCUUUUUGGAAGGUUAUUAGAAAAAGAGGACCACUAAAUAAUUCCGUCGACGUCCAGCAAUAGGGUUUUCCAAUUUUUUCACAGAUGGAUCCAUGUUUCCAAAGUUCUUUUGUUUUUUUUUCUGAUCUGAUAGUUGGUUCUUUAACUAGUUGAAUUAUCUGGUUUUCCGGGGAAAUCGGGUCAAUCCUCAGUUUUGUUCAUUCUCCUCAACCGCUAACUCAGUAUUGAUCAAAUGAUCGGUUCACAGUCGGACCGGCCGGGCUGAUAUGGUUUUGCUAACAUUGAUCUUAGUAGAGCCGACUAGAGGCCAUUCCAACCGAGCCACAAUGGCCUCAUACGAAAAACUCCUAGUUACCCUGAGUUCUUGAUAAUAAAUAAGAAUUGGAGUGCUUGUGCUAUGAUAUCACACUCCAAUUAGUGAAACUCAUUAAGCAUACACACAUUCCUUUCUUUCCAUCAGAAUCACAUAAGCAUUACCCAUCUUUCCAACUCCAAAUUCAAAACUUUGCGGUUGCUAAGUGAGAACCAAUCGCAUCAGUCAUUAGAAUCAUCAAAAUCAACCAGUGAUCAUGUUUAGAGUUACCUCAAAUCCGCCAAGUCCAUUGGCAAUCUCGGAAAUAGUGAAUUUGCAGGCAACCUGCAAAAUGGGCAUAUAUCACCAUGUCGAGGAUUAUGCUUAUACAUAUUAUACCUGUAGGUAAAAUUUACGAUGAAAUUUUCAUAAGAACUGCUCACCUUCGACGGAAUCUACAAUGACCAAGAACAAUUCCAAACAUCCGAGUUGCAAUUUGGAUUAAGACCCACUAAAAGAAAACCGUGUCCAUUAUUACGGAUAAAACCGGCCGUUGUCACUGAUAUUUCCAUGUCCCUGCCUCGUUGUCGCGGGAAAAUCAUCCGCGACAACGGGCGCCUUCAUAAUGAGGGGUGNNNNNNNNNNNNNNNNNNNNNNNNNNNNNNNNNNNNNNNNNNNNNNNNNNNNNNNNNNNNNNNNNNNNNNNNACGGCCGCCUUCAUAAUGAGGGUUGUGGGGACUAAACUAUCCGCGAAAAAUAGGGUUGGCGCGAACCCGUUAUGACCGGUUUGGUUCAAAUAGUUAGGUUGAAAGGCAUUUUAACAAGUUUAUCCGCAAAAACGGCAAGAGAUAUCCGCGACAAUGGCUAACAACAUUUGUUUUGCCGUCAUAACGGUUCCCCUAACGACGUUGAGUUUAUCCACGGCCAAGGUUGACAUUGUUAGUUUCUCCAUCCUACCCGUAAUGGUUGUUGUGCCAAAUACUAGGCCAUAAUAUCUGCGACAACAGCUCAAGUACUGCCUAAAAUUUUGUUAUUUUUGCUUGUUUCGUCCACUGUGGGCGCCUAAAAUAAAAGUUUAUAUAUGCACUAUUCUACACAUAACACAAUAUAUACCAAUAUCAUUAGCAUAACGAUAACACAUAUGAUCAUCCAAGAGUUAAUACUAUAACAUAAUCCAUAGAUCUACUCCAACAUAAUUCCUUGAUUUUUUACCUAACUAAAGUCAUUAGUUCACUAGACUACAUCACUAUCAACCUAGAUAUAACUACACUAGAGACUCGUCAUCCUCAUCCUCGUCAUUAUGACCAAGAUCCUUAUUAGCUCAAGUAUACAAAAGAAGAUAUAUAAAAUUGAAAUUAGGUUAAAACACAUAAAAUUAAGUAACAUGAACUUUAUAACAUAUAAAGAUUACUAAUAAUUUACCCGCCACAUCGUAGUCGUAGUUCUGUUGGAUGUGGUUAUAUUAUAUUAACCGCUACAAUCGUCGUUACGGAUCAUUAUCCGUGUCCGACGAUGACCUAACCGUGACACCCGUUAUCGCGGAUAUUAUCCCCCAUAACUAAUCUACGUCAGACAUCAAAUUUUGUUGUAGUGGCCAAGCUAUUCUUUAAAGCUAGUCAGCCAGUUUUAAUACCCCUAUUUUUUCGAAUAAACAGCUUUACUACUUGAAAUCCAAAUAAGCAUUCCGAUUCUUGAACAUCGCAAUGAAUAAUUUGCACGAUAGAAGUUGAUAUAGUUGACCAAAAACAGCUUUCAAUAAGAGCAGUAUUCUACUGAUAAGUCGUUCGAUUAACCAACUCACGAACUGUAGCAUCAACAUCAAACCUCAUCGGCGUAGAGGUCACAAAAUUACCGGGUACUAACGGAAGCCAUCCGUCUCCCCAAAUUCUAACGGACAUACAAUUUCCCACCCACCACCCAAGGCCACUCCAUACAAAACAUUGAGCACCAAAAAGGCUAUGCCAUAUAAAGCUAAACCCAACUCAGCUUUAAAGACAUAAUAGAAUUUUUAAAAUACUUAGCUUUCAUAAUUCUUACAAUAAGGGAAGAUGCUCUUGAGUGUAAGUUCCAAAGAUGUUUAGCAAGUAAAGUAAUGUUAAAGCCUAAAAAAUCACAUAAUCCCAUCCUAGCUUCGGAUUUCAAACUCAAUAGAUAUUCUUGACAAAAUGAGGGAUGAGCACUGGGUCGGGUCACCCAUCAAAACCCACCCGCCUAUAAUCACUCUCUACCACUACUACCCUUUUCCCCAUCACCAUAAAACUUUGCAUGCUUGUUUGUGUGUUUUUGUAGUUUUUUUGUGUGUUUUAUGUCGCUUUUCAUCGUUUGAGUAGAGAGAGAGAGGGAGAGAGAGAGGGAGAGAGAGAGAGGGAGAGAGAGUAUUUCAAGGGUUGCAUGUCAUACCAAUGAUUAAGAAUGCAUGAUAGAAGGUCUCGAUUCAAAUUAGGGUUCGGUCGGUGUCUGAUCGAAGGACGAAUGAUGCUUGCAUUAUUUUAUUUUUACUGAAAAAUUGGGCUUCUGGAGCAGCCUUUAGAUCAAUCUCAAGGUGUGUGGCUUUGCAUAGUGUGUGUCGUUUCCUUAAGUUUCUCUCGAUAGAAAAUCGAGUUUAUGGCGUGUGAUCCCACAUGCCAUGUGACUGAUUUUUGACAAAACGAACCGACCAAAGAACAACCAAAAACCCAACCGGCUCAAACCGUAAUGAACCAGAUUGAUUUUCAAACCGAUUUUCAACCAAAUCAAACUGAGUUUGACCAGACGCAUUGACCCUUCGUUGACCGGCCGUUGCCCCCGUUGACCGGUCACCAUGGAAGAAAAAACAUGGCAGUUUAGUAGUAUUUUGGGCAUAACAUUUUGCUCGGGAGUCUGAUUGACACAAGGUCAGUGACGUUGGAAACUUGUUCAGUUGCCUACAACUUUGAUGUCAUGAUGUGGCCUAAAUCCAUGCAGUUUGUGCUCAUUUUUCUUGGUUUGGAUUGAUGGAAUUUGAGAAAGUUUGAAUUGUGGUCUUGUUUGGUUUGAUGAUUUGGUGCGAUCGUGAUCAAUUUCUUGAUAGUAUUAUAGUGAUAUGUUCAUUGCAAAUGCUAACGUUUGGGAUGGUUGUCCAAAAUGGAUAAUUCUAGCUUUGCAAUGUGAAGAUUGCUGGAUGUUGAGACGUGAUCACUUUGUCACUCUUGUAUCGAUGGCAUGUUGUUGAUUUUCAUGAGAACUUGGAAUGGCAUCAUGAUGCUUCAAAGUGUGGUUGAACGUAGGUUGUUACUAGGCCUGAGAGUCGGUUAAUUUGGUUACUAACCAUCUGCUUAAUGUUCGGGGAAAAUGAUUUGGAGAUUAAAGUUGGUUAAUCGGUUUAACUGACCGACCAUAUGUAAUGGUUAAAAAGCCGACCAAUAACUGAUAAAUCGGUUAAAUAACCAAUUAUUAACCAACAGAUUAGUCGGUUAAUCCUAUGAACUGACUUUGAUUGAUUGACCGACUAUACCGACUUAACCUAACAAGAUCUGAAUCUCCAUGCUCAUCUCUGCCAUCGAGUGAGCCACGUUCUGCUCAUGAUAACCGUUCGUCCAAGCAUUCAUACUCUACUAAGAAAGCUUGCCAUGGCCGCCACUCUGAACACCGGUCAAAGAACUGAAUACUUGUUCCAAGAUCCGAACUUCCAGAACCGUCUCCAAUCCAUCUUCCCAAUUGUAGUUUGGACAAAGUUUCCUCAUCUGAAUUUUUACUCAAUCACACAACUACAACCUACACGACAACCAUAAUCAAUAGAGUGGAGGGGGAUAGGAUGAAACAGAGGACUGGUUGAAAUUAUAUGGGCCUAUGUUGCAUCCUCAAUAGCUCGUCGUCGCCAAGCCUCACUGAGCCGUCCCCGAGAGAGGAAGAGACGUAGAGUCUAGAGAUCGUGCUUUACUAGUGCUCAACACUCAUGGAGCCGUCACUGAGAGAGGAACAUAAUCCCUAAUGAAUCGUGAAAUCGAGAAUGAACGGGGAUAAGUGAAUAUGUUUGUGUGUGUGUGAGUUUGACCUAAAAAUGGGGGGAUUGGGAAUACGACGUAGACAUUUGGGUUCAGACUUGGGGUUCUUUUGACCGAUUAAUGUUGGUUAACACAAGUUAACUGACGGGUUUUAACCGAUUCACCGUUUAACUGAAGUCAGUUUUUCUCUUUGACCGUCCCCCAACCAACCUGUAGCUCGAUUAAACCUUCCUCUAACUUAUUCGGUCGGUUAAUCAAUUUUAAACGAUUAACCGAAACUGAAUUCCUACCCUUAGUUGUUACUAGGUGCUUUUGUUGCUCCCAAUUGAUGAUUUGUGAUUAUUUCCAUGCUCAUUUAAUUUGCUUCCAUUGCUCAUAUUUUGUCCUACCAUUACCCUUGAUGACUCAUUGGUUACUCACUGUUUUGGUAAAUGGUUCAAAGAAGCAUGAGGCAUAUUACUAGUCCAUUUGUUCCUGUAAUGAUAUAUCUUUGACCUCACCUUUUGGUAUAACUUGAAUGAUGCAUACGUUGUCACUUCAUGCUUUGCAUACACUCUUUAUGCUCGUUCUUGUUCAUUGGACUUGGUCAACAUUUGUGAGGAUUUCUUUGUGGCAAUUGAUGAUAAAUGAGUUAAGGUGGUCCCAUAGCUUUUGCUUACCCUUGUCUUACUAAUUUAUGAAUUAUAGGAUGCUCUUGUUUAGGAUUGCUAGUUAGUCUUGCUUGAGAAUAACUAGUUAUCUUCUUCAUUGGUUUUGCCUUUCUUUUACAUCUUGCCUAUGCCAUGUCUACUUAUGAGCUAUUUAUUGCCUAUCGUUGCCUAAUUCGAUUGGAUGCUUAUUGAGGUGGUUCCUUAGUGGCCGUAGGAUUAUGGGUUGACACCUCUACAUGCUUGAUGUGUAUGAUUAUUCUCCAUUUCGAAAUUUUCAAUGAUACUUUAAAGUCAAAUUUGAAUGCUCUUUACAAAUGUGUCAAUUUUGGCACAGUUUUCAAGGAUUCAUCAUUUAGUGUUUAUAAUUCAUUUUCGUUUUAAAUUUUCGUUUCCCACAUUUACUUUUCAUGUUUUGUUGCUUUUAUUGUUUUAAAUUUUAUUAUUUUUAUUUUAAUAGGCUUACUUUCCUUGUAUAUCCCCAAUUGUAACUUGGUAUCCGUAUUCUCAACUAAAUCAACAAAUGACACCAAAUAACUUAAAAUUGAGAACUAUAAGAGCUCAAAAGAAGGAGAUUUAGCAGAGUCUCUUAUAGGUUUCAAAAAAGCGAGGAAGGAUCUUCAAGUGGAGAGGACCCUUUCUCCUCCCUAACUCCAAUGGCGAACAAAACUCUAGCAUUAGACCACCUAAAGUCAGACGAUAAGCCAUGCAUUCAUCUCGUGGACUUUAUCUUCUAUUGCGACACCAUCAAGCUACACGGUGUUUCUGUUGAGGUUCACAUCGUGUUCCCCUUGAGUUUCAGCAACCAUCCACUCCAAGCACCUUAAAUCAUCCGUCUUAGUUUCUGCUUGUCCCCAAACACCGUACAUCGCAUGUACUUCGUGAUUUUUCCAUUCUUUGAGGCAUUUAGCUCCUCCUUGUACAUCAUACAGUUAUGAAUAAUGCCUCGACGUUGUUGUGUGCCUGAAAUUGAUAAAAAACACAACGCAACAACAUCAAAUGGACCCCAAACGGGUAUGAGACACUAAAUCGAGAUAGAAGUUACAAAUGCACAAAACAUCAUGUCGUGAAUGUUUCGAUCCGCGACACCGAUGGCUUGAAAUAUUUCAGAGUCGCCACCAAUCUGUUGAAGCGGAUUGGACGCUGUCGACAUAACCCAGGUCCUUUUGGACGUGAGUUAGAACAGGUCUGCGGAACAGAGAUCCUGGAUUCGAGAGGCGGUUACGUGCAGGGAAGGAUUAGCACCCCCAUAGCGCCCGUCAAACCGGUACUACUAAAUUUGAUAAGUUAUGUUUUAUUUUCUUAGUUUAGUGGUUUAAUUAUGCUUUAGUUUGGACGCAUAAGGUUAUGUAAAUUUUUUAGAGAAUAUUUUUAUUCAAUUGUAAGUCUUUAUGAGUUCCCACUCUUGUGGAAAUUUUUUUUUAUGUUGAUAAAUAUUUUGAGUUGAACAUUCUUAAUUUAAUUGUUUGGAUUUACGAAUUCCCAUUCUUGUGGAAAUUUUGUUUUACGCUGGUGAAUAUUUUUAAGUUGGUUAUUUUUAAUUUAUAUGUUUGGACUCAAGUCUUACGACUGCCUACGUACCUAAUUCUUUGGGAUCAAAGAUCAUGUAGUUCGUUAUGGAAAAGUUGAUUUGAGGAUUUUUUGUAAUUUUUACUAUUAUAAAAACCACGUUAUCAUGCUCAUUUUUUAUUUGAAAGACAUUUAUUUGGUUAUUUCAAAGUUGGAACUUUAUUUGCCCACUUAUGAUUAAAUGAUAAUUCUACAAAAUUCGAAACUCUUGUCACGGAUACGAAAUUCAUAUAACAUUGCUAUAAUAUCUUUAAAGGAUUAUUAUUAAGGAAAUUUCACAUUUUUUGCCAAUCGAAAAAUUAAUUGGUUUAUAUCAGUUAACUUAAUUUGACAUAAUUAAAAAUGCAUUACAAGACGGUUAACGAACUUACAUUUAAAUAAAUAUGUCACAAGUAUUUUUGGUGAUUUGACAAUUCUAUUGUGGUUAUGUUAAUGUUAAUUAAAAUGAUACGUUGAUUUGAAUAAUUGUAAAGUUUUGAGUUUUUAAGUUUACAACUUUAAGGUAUAAAUAUCAAAUAGGAUUAAAGAAGGUAUGACGUUUAUUCUGUUAUUCUUCCACACUUAUUUCACUUUUAUUCCACUCUUAAUAUGGCCUUAAUGAUAUAUGAAUAUAAUUGAAUCGACUAAAGGCUUGGCCUUUCUAAAUUAAUUGUGCCCAAGCUCGAGCUCGGCCCAACCGAACGAUGAGCCGAACCGGCGGGUAAGAGGAGGGCAGCCCGCGUGCCAAACUGGUCGAACCGGUUAUCCACGGUUCGAUCAGAAAACUCAAAAAGAUGAAAUUGCCCCUAGCGUUCCGUGCGCUGAAGAAGGGUGGCAGGGGAAAUUUUGUAACUUCACCUUAAACCUAAUCGGCCUUAUAAAAGGGCCUCUUAAAUCGAGAAAUGACUCAUUUGCAACUUCCCACUCUCUCUUUAUCAUCCCUCUUUCUAAACCGCCGCCCUUCUCCCCCCCCCCCCCCCCCCCCCCCCCACCCACCUUUAUCACGGAGUGUGCUGUUUUUUUCUAGUUCCUUUCUCUUCUUCUCAGCCGCCCUUUUUUGCCUCCUCUUACCUCUCAGGACCCCUCUUUCUACCUCCGUUUUUUCGAUUUUUCCAGAUUUGGACUUGCAUGUCAUCGGAGGAUACUCCGGUGAGUCCUCCGGCAAAAUGCAAGUCUCGAUCUGUAGAUCUAAUGUUUUAUUUUGGUAUUAAACAAUUUUGGUUAUUUGAGGGUGGUACCGACGGGGGUGGCGGGGAGGUAGAGAAAUGGAAAAAAGAGAAAGUUAGGUAAGUAAGAUUUCUUCCCUAUUCCUUUUGAUUAAUGUCUGGUUAAUUGCUAACGAAGCUAACUACCGGUUUCUUUGAUGACUUUUUUUAUGUCUUUGAAAAUGGGCAUAGUCGACAUGUUUUGGAAAAUGAGAGGAAAAGGAGAAGAUUGCUUUUAGGAGGUAAGACAGCUAAUUUUGAACCCAUUCUAAUUUUUCUAGGUAGAAGUAACAAUUCUAUUUGUUGAUAAGUUGCAUAAGAAACUAGGUUUGUUUUGUUACUGAAGUUGUAGUAGUAGUCUAGGUGUUUUAAAAAGUUUUGUUUGAAAAACUUUAUUUUUUUUACUAUUGUUUAAAUUUUUUUAGCAACAUUGUUUAUUCCAAAAAUCCGUAUUUUAACUCGAUUUUACUAUGAGUUUCAUAGUUCUUUAGGUCUUUGGUGCGAAAAUGAUGAAAGAUGGCUAUAGGUUUCGUUGUUAAUACUUUCCAAUAACUUUUAGUUCAUUUUUGAAGCUUAUUUGAUUGAUUUGUUGGUUGUUUAUUAAAAUGAAUCAUUUAUUUGAUUAGUUGCAACGAAUCAUUGGGUUCAAUAGUAGUUUAGAAGGUUGCUAAGUGAUAUAGCAUAACAAUGUAUAUGUAUGAAUGAUGUGUGAAUGCUUCAGAAUAGGGAUGUUUUGAAUGAUUACCUUCAUUCAAAAUUUCUCUUUUAUCGUAUUUCAGGUGGCGGCGCCUAUCGUGAGUGACGUCAAACCGAUUUGGCGGCUUCUAUGUGUAUGGCGACAAAAGAUGUUGUAAAACUUAUUUUUUUACAGUUUUGUAAUUAUUUCCCGGGACUUUGAACGAGUGAUGUUGGUGUAUUAUUUUUGGGGGUUUUGGGAAGAACUGGGGGACGAAUUUUGAAAACUGUAAGCUCCUCUUUUUGCUGAUUUUUGUCAGUCCAUUUAAAUGCAGAAAGGGCUACAGUCACUUCUUUUAACCAACCACAUCUUGCAAAGUUUUCUGACAAAAAUAAAAGGUGGCAGCUCCCCAAAUAAUAACCGUAACGGGCCCGAUAUUGGGCUUGAAAUAAGGCCUGGAAUCGGGCCCGAAAUCAAAUUGGGUCUAACACAUAAAUAGUUUCGAGAUAAGGGAUUUUGCCGAAUUUCGAGAUAGCGGACUUGAGGUCCACUCAUUUCGGCCGUUUCCGUUUAAAAAGAUCUAAAACAAAAUCGGCUUAGAACAGUCUGUAACAUAAUAAUUACAUCUCGAAAAUAUGCUAUUUGGCUACCAAGUUCUCCCCUAACGUGCACUUUGAUUAAUUUAACUGAAUAAACUUCGCAACAAGUAAAAUCUCGACGCUAAAUCCUUCCUAGAGAUGCUACGACUAUUUAGUGAAAUGACACUGGCGUGCAUUCUUCACUCGAACGAAAUUUGGUUACUACAGUUGUCCCUCUUUGUAUUACUUUCGCUUGGAAGUGGAAAGUGGUACAAAGACAGAAACCAAAUUUCGGACGAGCGCCUGAACUUCUCACGUCAAGUCCACUAGGGUCCAAGGAUCUGCCACAACAUCGGGUAGAAAACAAAAUUUGCAACCUGACCACACAAACAACAUGCAAUGCAUUUCCCUAUGGGUGUUAGGGUGAAUGUACUAGGGACUCAGCUUGACUUAUCUCCCGUUCCAUGGGUUGACUAUACUAGGGACUCAACUCGACUUAUCUCCUGUUCCAAGGUGCAAUCCGCUUUCCCCAGGAUGCUAAGGGUUGAUGUACUAGGGAUUCGACUAGACUUAUUUCCCGUUCCAACGUGCGAUCCGUUUGCCUUAGGACGCUAAGGGUUGAUGUACUAGGGAUUCAGCUUGCUUAGUUCCCGUUCCAUGACUACAAAUGUGUUGAUGAUGAAUGGUUUCGAAAGAGUUUGAGUAAGGCUCCCCCUUUUUGAAAAAAACAUGCAUCUGAUGGCAAUGCUUGAUUGAUAUUUUUCAUCAUUUUCACUCCGACGAGAUUCACUGUUUUGUUUUCUUGUCGCUUAGUUCGCACUACGUGCUAGCGCAAUGGUGUCAACCCUGCUGAUAGCUGGGUAACCUUUAAUGUAUGUGCCCAUUUUUCUUUGUUUUUCCCCCGACGUCUUCAUAUUAUUCCCAUGCCUUGGGAUUUUAAGGAUCUCUUUCCUACUUUGUCUCUACUUCUAGAUAUAAUGGUAAGAUAACGACGACCUUUGUAAAUUUCUUUCUUCGGUUAGGAAUAAGUGGAGAAAUCCUGCCAUCCGGGCUUCUUUUCUUUAACCCUUCCCUUUUACUAAUUUUUUCAUUCUUUCAACGGUUUUCAUUAUUAUUACUAUUAUUUUUCUCCCUUUUGUCUUCACUUUACCGCUAAUUUCAUUUGAAAAGACCUCCUAAUGAUUAAUUAGAGCGAAGGUGUUUGCACGAACGCAUUUGCCUCAAGUUCCUGUGGGGUGUUGUACCUCAUCCAUUUUGUUUGGUGAUGCGUGAACAAUGGUUAGGAGAGUAGUAUUUGAGAAUUCAUGAAGUAUCCAAAACUUAAAGUUGACUUAAAUUAUCACUUUAUUGAUGGAAAACCGAUCACGUAGAUCUCCGUCAGGAACUUUAAGCAUAGUACUUGUUUACUGAAUAAGAGUUAAAUAGGUAAGGGAGCUUGUCUCCGUCCAUGUUUGCCAGUAUUAAUGCCCCCCUGAGAAAGCCCUUUCCCCUACAUAGGGCCCUUCAUAGUUCGGCUUCCACAUUCCUCUUGGGUCCCCUUGUCAAAUGGAAAUCUUCUUCGUUACCAACUCUCCUUCGCGAAAUUCCCGUGUUUCACUUUUUUUUAAAAGAUCUGAUAAAUCUGCACUGAUACAGGCGUUAGUGGUGGAUAGCUGCCAACCUUUUCUCAUCAAUUUAAUUUAACUGGUCGUAUGCCGCUUUUACCUACUCAACUUGUUCUAACUUCGCCUCCAUGAUAACCCUUAGUGAAGGCAUUUCUACGUCCAUGGGAAGCACUGCCUCCAUCCCAUAGACCAAUUGGUAAGACGUCGAUCCCGUUUAGGUUCUUACUGAUGUUCAGUAACCGUGCUGGGUAAAUGGUAGAAUUACGUGCCAAUCGCGGUCGGUAACGACCAUUUUCUGUAUGCUUUUCUUGAGGUUUAUUGUUUGUCAGCUCGACCGCUCCGUUCAUCUUUGGUCGGUAUGGUACCGAGUUGUGGUGCUUAAUCUUAAACUUGUUGCAAAGCUCAUGCAUCAUCUUGUUGUUGAGAUUUUUCGCAUUGUCGAUUAUUAUUCUUUCCAGGAGCCCAUACUAGCAAAUGAUUUCCUUUUGUAUGAACUUUUUGACAACGCUCUUGGUAGUGUUUGCAUAUGACACAACCUCGACCCAUUUCGUGAAAUAGUCGAUGGCUACUAGGAUGAAACGGUGCCCAUUAGAUGCUUUUGGUUCAAUCAUGCCUAUGACCUCAUGAUGCAAAAGGCCAAGGCGAUGCCAUAAUGUGCAACGAUGAUGGAGACACGUAUUUCUCACCGGCAUAAACCUGGCACUUAUGGCAUUUUCUCACGUGUUUUACAUAGUCAGAGUUCAUCUUCGUCCAAUAGUAACCCAUCCUUAAUAUCUUCUUAGCUAGCGCAUGACCACCGACAUGUGUGCCGCAGACUCCCUCAUGGACUUCUUUUAUUGUUCUCUGAGAUUCAGGGGCAGCUACACAUCUUUGCAGCACAAAAUCAUGGCUUAGUCUGUAGAGGGUAGUCCUAUGAACAUAGUAACCCAUCUCCAAUCUCCGUAGAGUCCUUUUAUCAUUUUCAGAUGCCCUAGCUGCGUACUCCCUUUUAUGUAGGUAGGUCUUUAUGUGAUGGUGCCAGGGAUUCCUCAUGCUCUUUUUGGACUCUACCUAGGUAGGCAGGUGCAUUUUUCUUUUUGAUUUUGCUUCAUGGGUUAACCUCGGUCUCGUCCAGUUUGUACAUCGAGGACAAUGUGGCGAGAGCAUCCGCUAUUUGAUUGUCGACUCGCGAGAUGUGCUCAAACUGUAUCGACUCAAAUUUUGCGGCCAUUUCCCCUAUGUAUUUAUGGAAUGGGACAAGCUUAUGACCCCUAGUUUCCCAUUUUCCUUCAACUUGUAUAUUACUAGCGCUGAAUUACCAUAUGCCUUCAAAUUCUUAAUAACCAUUUCGAGGGCUCCUCGGAUCCUGAAAGUGCACGAUUGGCACUCUGUUAUGUUGUUGGUGCAAUCGAAGCAAAUUUUGGCAGUAAUAGGGCACACCCUCCCUUCAGAAGAGACAGAAACGACGCCGACGCCCUGUCCCAAUGAGUUUGAGGCCCCGUCAAACUUCAUCACCAAUGUUUUUUGGACGAAGCCUUCCACUAAUUUCUCAGUGUUCAGUAUAGUUUCAUCCGGAAAUUCCAUUAACAUCGGAUUCGUGUCCGAGAUUGCAUGCUCCGCUAGAUGUUCUGCCACUACACUCCCUUCAAUGGCCUUCCUUCGGAUAUAAACGAUGACGUAUUCUGCCAGCAGCACUUGCCAUUAGCCUAUCCAUCUGGAGAGGGCCAACUUUUCGUGGACAUCCUUGAUAGGGUUCAUUUUUUAUAUUAGGAGCUUCGUGUGAUAUAACAUGUACUAUCUCAGCCUUAUGGCUACCCAUACAAGUGCUCCGCAAGUUUUCUCGAGCGAUGUAUAUCGAGAUUCGUAGUCAUGAACUUCUUGCUGGUGUAAUAUAUUGGCGCGCUCUUUCCUUCCCGAUUCAACAUGUUGGGCCAACAUCGCGCUUACCAAAUUUUCAAAUACCGUGAAGUACAAUAUUAGUGACCUUCUAGAAGUUGGUGGGGCCAGAACCGGAGGGUUUAAUAAACACCCUUUGACUUUCCGAAAGGCAUGAUGACAACCUUCAUCCCACUCGACAUUCCGGUUCUUCUUUAAAAGCUUGAGAAUGGGUUCACACGUUAAGCUCAAAUGCGAUAUGAACCGACUAAUGUAGUUCAAGCGUCCUAAGAAUCCUAGCACCUCUUUAUGCAUUUAGGGAGGAGGUAUGUCAACCAUUGCCUUCACUUUGUCAGGGUCCACUUCAAUCCCCUUUUGGCUAACCACGAAACCGAGCAGCUUCUCCGAGGUGACUCCGAACGUACACUUUUCUGGGUUCAGCCAGAGCUGGUACUUCCCGAGUCGCUCGAGCAAUUUUCAUAGCACAGUUACGUAGUCGUCUUCCUUUUAUAACUUUGCUAUAAUGCCAUCCAGAUAUACCUAUAUUUCUUUGUGUAUCAUGUCAUGAAACAGUGUGACCAUGGCCCGCUGGUAAGUUGCCCUAGCGUUCUUCAGCCCAAAAGACAUAACUUUAUAGCAAAAGGUUCCCCAUAAAGUGAUGAUGGUCUUUUUUUCUCGAUCAUCCGAAACAUCCUGAUAUGGUUGUAUCUUGAGAAACUGUCCAUGAAAGAGAACAUAUUAGUUGACGGUAUUAUCAACGAGGACAUUUAUGCGAGGCAAAUGGAAGUUGUCCUUUGGGCUUGCCCUAUUUAAAUCUCUGUAGUCUACGCACAUUCUCAUUUUUCCAUUCUUCUUAGGCAUAGGGACCAUAUUAGAGAUCCAAUCGGUGUAUUACGCCACCUGUAAGAACCCGAUUUCGUAUUGUUUCUGCACUUCUUCCUUAAGUUUGAGUAUCCAUUCCGGUUUCAUCCGCCAUAACUUUUGCUUUACUGGCUUGCACUCCUCCUUUAUUGGCAAGUGAUGUGUUACUAUUGUUCAUCGAGGCCCAACAUAUCUUGAUAAGACCUUGCGAAAACGUCCUAGAAGUUCUGGAGUAGUUUGACGAGCCUGUUCUUUUCUGCUUGGUCUAAACUGUCCCCUACCUUAACCUGUCGCCGAUUGUCCUCUGUUCCCAAAUUCACGACCUCUACUGACUCGUAGAAAGGUUUCAAGGAUCGCUCUUCUUAUCCUGCCAUCCAAUCUGUUUCUAGGUUAGAACCAUCACUGGCUUCCUCGGUUUCCAUCUCAUAAACUGGGUGGUGAAAGUCAACUUUAGUGUUUCGUACCUCUUCAUUGUUUUCAAACACAUCUGUAACCCUGUUACGUGACGGGAAAUAGAAAAGGGAAAAAGAAGAAAAGCGGAAGUGAAUAAUAUAGACGAUGCACGGAUUGAGACUUAUGAAAACAUGCUUUAUCAAACAUGUGAAAAUGUGAUACAUGCAUUCAGGAUCACUUAAAAAACACUAGGAAGCCCUUGCUUAUUUUAUUUAGUAGUCAUAUUUUAGAGUUAUUACAUCUGCAAUGGCGAAAGUAACUCCAAAGCCUCCCAAUUGCUUAGCUCUUCCUUUGGACGGAGCUGCCGCACCCAUUUUAUUCCGGUCAUAAUUCCCGUACCCAGCAUGCUGAUGAAGAGAUCUGCAAAAUCCGACUGUAACUCUUUGGUGGUCGGAUCAGUGUAGUUUUUCCUCACAUUUAUCUUUCCAGCAUUCUUGCUUGUGAUGUGAGGUAUGAAAGUCAGGCCUUCAUCAUCUUCUGUCCCACUUAACCUGGACACCCUCCUCCUUAUCCGUUCCUUUUGGAUCCUCCUUAUAUCAUCAUCGUUUAGAAUGUAUCGCAAUCCCGCACGGUUCUUAUUUUCUUUGACCUGGAUGGGUUCUUUCAGCACCUCCUGCCAUUAGUAUCAUAGAUUCCAUACUCGAUAUUAAUCUAACCGAUGUCUCGAGACUAAUUAGAGUUAAUUACCAAGUGCAUUAAUAUAGUACAAUGAUUAAUCUGAAAAUUAAUUCCAAAGCGGAUCGACAUUCCGCCCCUCUCUCAAGUGUAGCGGAGACGACGAUAGACCUUGGCGUUUGGGGAUUUAGUCUCACUUUCGUAUCUAAACCAAAUCCCAACAAUAAUCUUACAACUGGAAUUCGACAAUUACAAAAUAAAGCAGUAGCUAUAUGCAAGAGAAAGACAAUAACGAAAUUAAUGAUAGUUCCGCUUAACACAAUCGAAAUUAUGUCGUAUUAACACAUAAUCAAGGUUUCAUCAAUUUCGGACAGACAGCUUAGUUACACAUGGUGAUCAAAUUAAAAACACAGAAAUCAAGAUAAUACAUGAACCUGGAGCUCCAUGCUUCAUGAACGCUCUGCCGUCGUAAAAUUCAGCAAUGUAGGCGGUCCGAACGGAAGUUCCGAAAUGGAUUUCUUCACCUUCGGAGCUCGAAAUUGCAUGCGGUUUGAAGUGGCAUGUUCCUGGGUUGAAGAAGGACGUCUUGGGGCAGAGUAGGAAGGCUUGCGGGUCUGAUAUGGUGUGUGUAUGGUGUGAUUUCGAAGUGGACAUGACUUGCCCUUAUAUAGGCUCGAAAAAUGGCGUAUUAAGGCCUCCGACAUGGGCAUACCAACUCCAUCAUCUGUAUGCAAGCUGUAGCUGUCCCUGGACUGAUGAUGGACGGAUCUACAUGUGCUGGACGUCCUCAACCAUGCCCGGUUAUCCUUCCGGCGAUCGGUUGAGCGGUGGAUUGUAAAACGGGUCGUAACUUCUUCGUUGCAAAUCUGAUUUAGCUCCGGUUUGUAUCGUUGGAUUUUUAAUUCAUCCCUUUAUAAUACGUGACCUGAAAUUUUAUUAAACACACUAGAAGAAAUAUAAAAUUGGACCAUAAAGGUCCAAGGGUUGAAUUUACGGAAUUAAGUGCAAUAUAACUGAUAUCCGUCGAAACUUUUGUUUGCAAUUGAUAUUAUGACUUGAAGUGUAGAAAGUUUAGUGCCAAAUAUUACGGUAUGUUAUGAUGUGAUCAAAAUACCCCACACUUAAACUUUUCUUGUCGUCAAGAAAACUGUAACUUAACCCACACGAAAUACCAAAGAUAGUUACCAUCAUUUAUACAAGGUUUAGGAAAUGUAAUUUUACAAUUUACGAUGCAACAGAGGUUAAAUGCUUGGCCACAUCGGUGAGAUAAAUCUCUAGUUAGAAAUUCACGAGACAGUGCACACCAGAUUAAUCAAGAUUCAAAUGCUAAAAAUAAAAGGGUUAAAUGCAUUUGUUGCAACUAUAAGAUUCAUUUUGCGCUUCCUUACGAAAUUAUGAAAUUUUAUUUCUUUUUUAAAGUUUCAAAAUUUUGAAUAACCCGUAGCCGAGCAAGACUAGUGAGUACUAUACUCAACCUUUUAACACAUUUCAUUCUUCCCACACACACCUCAAUUAAGUCCCGUAUGGGAGGCAUCUAAACUGGCUGCCUAAUUGGCAGGGCAGCUAAUGCAGAGGUGCUAGUCCUCUACCACACGCGUUAAGUUAAUCAUUGAAUUAUUGAGACAAAUUAAAGAAGCAUUUUGAUUUAAACAUUUUUUUAUG